rnacentral:lncRNA from 1 species
UAUUUUACCUUUGCCGAUUGAGAGAGACAUAGUAUAAAUUUAGCAUGAGAGAAUCAUAUAUCAUACAAGGUGAAAAUAAUAAAUGCAAGAUAAAUGAAUUUGAUUUGAGAACUCAUAGAUCGUGAGCAUUGGUUAAAAACAACAUUGUUGCACCAUAUGACUCUUUGAUCAUCAUCGAGUUUAUGAGAGCGGUAAAGACUAUCGUGCUGAUAACGUGUUAUAAAUAAAGGGGGAAAGAGACUUACUAGCUAGUUAAUGGAAGAGUAGAACUAGUGAGAGAGUAGAAGAACAAGAGAGAAUAGAUGGGGGAAUGGUGUUGUUGGUGUUGUGUCAUUCAUCAUUCACUCACCCCUUUAUACAGGGUUGAGAUACUUGGUGAUUACACAUAUAAAGCUUGAUGGAGAAGCUUGGUAACUUGGUGAACACACACAAGUUAACUUGCUAGACACUCACAAGCUAUGGUAACUUGUUUAGUACAAGCUUUCUACACAAGAUUACAACACAAAGUAAUUUGGACAACCAUACAUAUUUACAACAUGAAAUACAUUCUUGAUUGUCAUUGACAACAGAAUUAUUUUCCAGGUUUCCCUCUUCUCUAGUUUUGUCAUGUCCCUUAUUAGUGUUUUGAAAAAAAUUAUUCAGUUAUAUAAAAUUAAAAAUUUCAUAUUUGAAAUAAGAAUAGGACAAAACAAUCUUGAUCCCGCCACUGAUAAUUACAAGGAAACAACAAAUCAAUAAAAUUAAUGUCAAGCAGUGACUUGCGGGUCAUCCCACUUCGGCACUCCCAAACAAUGAACCUAUGUACGUUUUGGCACUCCCAAACAAUAAACCUAUGUUGCACGGACACUCCAUUAGAGUGGAGUGUCGGACACACCCGACACGCCGACACACGCCCGACAUGGGAAAAUACGUGUCCCACGUGGCGUGUCGGAAAAUAUUGAUUUUUCGGACACGUUGACCGACUCGUUACGUCAUCUCAGACACGCCACAUCAUCAUUUAUCAAUUUUUUUAAUUAAAAAAAAAGAAAAAGAAAAGGAAACCAAAACCCAAAUAAAGUUACUGUCUACUUUUGAAAGCAAAUUACUGCCAAGUUUUGUCAGCAACCUACUGCAAAUUUGAUGUUCUUUAAUGUUAUGUUUUAAGUUAGAGGUCUUGACACGACCCACCCCGAAUUUCACCCUGAAACCCGGAGUAAGUCGUGCGGGGACCACCUCCAAGGAAAAUUUACCGAAAAGAUUGGUAAAACCUUCUUUGGAAAUGGACAACCCUAACCCGAAAAAUUUCCAAUUCACACUCUUACUACAGCACGUCCAAAAAAUAAUAUAACACACAAUUAUCUAGCUAAAUAAAAGCAAAUAUUAUCCUUCAGAAAUUCUAAACAUAAAGUCAACCGACCGAGCACACCACCGAAAUAAUAUACAAUAAUCCCAAAGUAUUCAGAGCUACUAGACACUAGUGGAAGCAAGAAAACACUAGUAGGUUAAAUAGGUAACCUACUGAUGAAAACUGGCGGAAAAGCGGGUAACUAUGCCUCAUCUCCUACUAGGUCCAACCUGAACUCUGCAGACUGGGCAAUUUAAAAUGAAAGAGCCCAGGGGGAAAACAUGUGGAAACAGUUAGAAGUGAGUGGACAAAAUAAUUAAAUAAAAGUAUUUCUUUAUGCUUUCCCCAAUUUAAUUUCCAAAUAAAAUAAUACUGCAUGCAAUCGCUCAAAAAUGCUCAACUCAAAAAAUUGGUAACUUCACGACCAGCACCGGCUAGUCUCCAAAACUUAAUAAAUACAGCCUCUCAGGCUAAAUUAUAUAUAAACAUAUAUAAGUGUAUGUAUUUACACUCGUCAGACUCCUUGUAUGAAUUCUAAGAACAAAUUAGAAAAUAGAAAUUCAUACAAGGCUACUACGCUUGCGUCUAACGCUCACGUCACACCAUAAUGGAAUUGUAUCUCAGAUGGCGGAAAAAGCACGAGUGUAUAUACGUGUGGACUCCCUAUAUGAAAACCUAAAUAAACCAAAUAAGAAAAUAGUUUUCAUAUAAGGCUACUACCACUACCAGGACAAGCACUUUAGCCGACAAAAAAUUUUCGUCGGCCUGUUAGCUUAAUUCGUCGGCUAAGAUUUCGUCGGGAAAAGGUCGUCUGUGAUGACUUUAGCCGACGAAAAAAAAAUUUCGUCGGCUAUAGUCCCGCAGUUUAGCCGACGAAAAACAUGUCGUCGAUUUUUUUUCCAGACUUUAGCCGACGAAACAAUUAAGAUAUUCGUCGGCUAAAGUCUGUAAUAAAAAUUUUUUUCCCAGACUAUAGCUGACGAAAUAUAGUAUGUUUCGUCGGCUAAACCUUAUAAAAAAAUUUAAAAAAAUAACUAUAGCCGACGAAAUAUUGUCUGUUUCGUCGGCUAAACCUUAUAAAAAAUUUUUAAAAAUAACUAUAGCCGACGAAAUAUGCCUAAUUCGUCGGCUAACCUUAUAAAAAAUUUAAAAAUAACUAUAGCCGACGAAAUAUGCCAUAAUUCGUCGGCUAAACCUUAUAAAAAAAUUUAAAAAUACUAUAGCCGACGAAUAAACCUUUAAAUAUCGUCGGCUAAACCUUUAAAUAUCGUCGGCUAAAGUUGCUGGUUUUUGAAAAAAAAAACUGCACAAACUUUCGGUCACCUCCAAUCACCACCAAAAUUUGACAGAAUCUUCUUCUCAACAUUUCGAACAACUUUCUAGAAGAAGUCGAAGCCCAAUUCUAAGCCUAAAUAGGUCAAUUGAAUCAAAAUAUAAAAAUCCCCAAUUUUAAACCCUAAAAACUUCAAAUCUUCGAUUCUCCUCACACACACCGAAUCGAGCUACCAAAUUCUAGGGGAAUGUAGUACUAAUCAAACUCAACUUAUCUAUAUAUAGAACUCACCAAAUGGUGACUUGAGGAAGGACAAAUUAGAUCGACACCGAAUCCGAACCGGCCGAGUUUUGGAGCUCGAUUUAUCUCUCACGGCGGCGCCACUCGAUGCACCACCUAUCCAGCAAUGAAGUAGAGACGACGGCGAAGCUUUUGGGACAAGUGUGGCGGUCUCCGGUGGCUUGACGGCGGAGCUAGGCCGAGAAGAAAAUCUGGCAGGCGAAAUAGACUUCUUACCAUCCACCUUCGGUAAUAUAAAGAACUUUAGCCGACGAAAUUCUUUAUUUUCGUCGGCUAAACUCUUUUGAAAAUUUUGAAAAUUUUGGUUGACCGCCAAAAAAUUUUGGUUGAAAAUUUUGAAAAUUUUCGACUUUAGCCGACGACUUUUCAUAUAUUUUCGUCAGCUAAAGUCUUUUGAAAAUUUUCCUCCAAAUUUGGUUUACCGUCCAAAAAUUUUUGACCUUAGUCGACGACUUUUUUAAUAUCUCGUCGGCUAAAGUCUAUAAAUUCACGAAAACGCUCAUAUCUCCCUCUAUAUUACGUAGUUUGGUCAAACCUUCCACACGAAAAACUUUCACGUAGAUGAGACGCAACCGCCUAUAUAAAAAUUUUGAGACAUUUGCCUUCCGAAGAUAGGGCUCCCCAUAGGGAAUAAUAACGGUAAAUAGAGUUGACCGCUACUAUCGGCACCGAGACUUUACCCGAUUUACGUGAUUUUUGAACCAUAGCCGUAUUUCACCAUUCUGAACAUAUCUUAUUUCACGAGAUUUUUGAUAAUUUUGCUUCCUAUAUAGAGUUGGUUCACAAAGUUGUAUAACCUACUAAACAAGUUAUACAACAUUAGUAGACACGUUGUGAUUCCGAUGACUAAAAUUCACAAACCAAAAUUCGAACGUCAGAUAUGAUCAUUAUGAUGAAAGAUGUCUAUGGUAAAAAAAUUCAACUGGAUCCGACAACGUUAAGGACUCGAUCGAAACGGGUAACCCUAAUCCAUUGUCACUUAUCACACGAAAACGCUCAUAUCUCCCUCUAUAUUACAUGGUUUGGUCAAACCUUCCACACAAAAAACUCUCAUGUAGAUGAGACGCAACUGCCCAUAUAAAAAUUUUGAGACAUUUACCUUUCGACUAUAGGGCUCCCCAUAGGGAAUAAUAACGGUAAAUAGUAGACACGUGAUUCCGAUGACUAAAAUUUACAAACCAAAAUUCGACCGUCCGAUAUGAUCAUUAUGACGAAAGAUGUCUAUGGUAAAAAAUUCAACUGGAUUCGACAACGGUAAGGUCAACUCUAAUCGGAAAUAAGAAAACUGCAUUUUGAAGCCCUAAACGGACUCGGAUGGCCAAAAAGGCCCAUACAUCUUGGCAUUAACGAUGAGUUUGACUCGUAGGGCCGUUACGCAUCCGGAAAGGUAUCACAAUAGUCAAUCGGACACCAAAAACCAAAUCUACAGCAUAGUGAAUAAUAAGGGUAAAUUGCAUUGACCGCAACUAUCGGCACCGAGACUUUACCAGAAUACCGUGAUUUUUCAACUGUAGACGUAUUUCACCAUUCUGGUCAUAUCUUAUUUCACGACUUUUUUGCGUUUGAAGGUUCUACGUAUAGUUUUUUUUUCCAGAUGAGUUGUUGUCCAGAUUUGCAAAUAUAAGGCACUUUAGCCGACGAAAUUAUAUUUUUCGUCGGCUAAACUUUCAAAAAUUUCGUUGGCUGAAGUUCACUGACUAUAGCCGACGAAAAAAAUUAUUCAGACGAUGAAAUUUUAAUUUCGUCGGCUAAAGUUGACCAUAGCCGACGAAAAUUUUUAAUUAGCAGACGAAAAAAUAAUUCGUCGGCCUGGUUUUUUUAUUUUUGUCGGCUAAAGUCUUUCUUCUGGUAGUGUACGCUUGUGUCUAAGACUCACGUCACACCAUAAUGAUAUUUUACCUCAUUAUGGCGGAUUAAACACGUAUGGCUAGCUAGCAUUUAUAUAUACAUACUAUCAUCAUAAACAUCCAAUAAACAUAACCACCGAAAAUCUCAUUUUCGGGAUCUCUCCAAAGGAGGAAAAUUGCCAAAUAUCCGAGAAAUAAAUAAAUCUCAGGAAAAGAAAUAAAUGAUCAACAGAUAAUUCAUCGCAUGCUUUUCACUUAAAAUAAAGGUCCACUCACAAAUUAGGCCUAAGCCUGAUGACUCUCCGAGGCUUCCUCUGCUCGGGCCUCCUCUCGUCCUGUUCCAAAUAUAUAAUUAAUUUCCCAUCAAAAAUCCAAUAAUUAAACAAAAUGGGCAAAAUUAAACGUGAGCCUCCCACACACUCAUCAUUGCCCAAAUUCACCAUUCUUAACUCAAUACGGCUCAAACUUCGCCGAACAUACCGGCAGCCGUAAAAACAACUUCCCACAGAAUACGACUUAAAUCCUACGGCCGGAUUCUACAUUAAUUAACCGCCAAAAAUACCAAACCUCGGAAAUUCACAAACCUAUCCAAAACUCAUCCAAAAAUUCCAUAACUCACUUCAAUAAACUCCCCUUAAUAUUCCAAAUCUAAAAACAUUAAAAUCUCCCACACAGCUCCGGCGCCGGCGCCGGCUCCGCCGGCAGCGGCGGCCGAUUCCGGCGACCUCCAAUUUCUACCAAAUUUUAACAGAAUAAUCCUCUUAUCAGGCACAACAACUUUCCUAACUAGCACUUAGUCCAAUUCUAAGGCUAACUAGGGUAAUCGACUAAAAACAUCCAAAAAUCCCUAGAACUUCAAUUAUACAUUUCUCCAUAACCACAAGGAGAUAGACUUAUUCCUUUUGAGAGGAUACUCACCUUGAUGAGAGCUACAAAAUGAGCUAAGAAUUGCGAGUUUUGGUGGCCGGAAAUGGGAUUUCCGGCGAAAUGCUUCCCGGCGUCUCCGGCGGGUUUUCUCCUCUUCCGGUGGGUUAGAGGCUCGGGGGCUAGGCCGGGGAGGGAGAGGAGGAGAUGGGGGUCCGAACUGGGCUGGAGCAGCGGCCGGACGCUAGCUGGAUGACGGCAGCUGGUGGCUGGGAGCUUCCGGCGGAGAGGGGCUCGGGGAGCUCGGGGAAAAGAGGGAAGGGAGAAAGAGAGAGAGUGAAGGAGGAUAUGGGCUGCUCACACCCGGUCCAUAACCCUUAAACCCAACAAAUUUUACCCACUAAAAAAAAAUACCUCUUUUUACCACCUCAAAAUUCACUCUUUUAGAUAAUAACUUUUUCAUGCUAACUCCGAUUUUAACACAUAGCAUGUCUACGAACUCGUAUUAACGUCCUCUACAACUUUCAUGAAGAAAGUUUCUCCAAAUUCUAAACGGAAAAGAAAGUCAACUUUAGGGUCUUUAGGUAGUAAACGGUUAUUCAACACGGUAAAAGACUAAAAUAAUACCAAAGUAAAUAACAGUAAAAUAACUUAAGAACCGGGGUGUGACAGGUCUGAUGCUUAUAAUAUUGUUAAUUAUGCACUUCUAUCAUUUGCAUUUGACUCUUUAUAAUGUUAUUUCUUAUGGUUAUGCAAUGAAUUGAAUUUAGAACAUUAUUUUGGAAAUGUGAUGAACUUAUUUUAUAUUUUUUAUUUAUUAAAAAUAUAUAAAUAUAUAAUUAUAUUUGCCGUGUCCAAAUCGUGUCGGAUAUUCAGUUUUUGAGCUUUACCGUGUCGGCGUGUCGCGCCGUGUCUGUGUCCGUGCAACAUAGCAAUGAACUAAUGAAGCAAACAAUUCUAUGAGCAGUAUUACUUUGGCGGGAUUUCAAAGUGACAUGGUGAAUUUGAAGUUGAGCCAUAGGGUUUAGAACAUAGCUUUACCCCCACAAUAAUUAGGGACAAGCAGCAGCCAAACUAAACAAAACUAUUACAAGCUUUUGUUGUGUAGCCAUUAGGGCUGCCACUCGGUCGGUUCGAAUCGGUAAUGGGCGUUACCAAUUUCAAAACCAAAGCUUUCAGUAAUGAAAUAUGACUUUCAAUUACCAAACCAAAAACUUCGCUAUGAGAUAAAUCUUACCAACUUCGGAUGUCGGUUUUUCGGUAUUACCAAACUUCACAACAAAUAUAUUUUCAAAAUAUAACAAAACAAUACAAAACUAUAAAAUUUAAAUAUCACUUGAGUUUCUAGAGUCUGAUAAUACAUAUGCAAAAGAUAGUCAUUUCAGUACACAUUAUCGAGUAUGGUUUAAUUUUCUACCGAAAUAGUCAAGAUGUAAAUGUUUCCAAAUUUUUAUAUGAACAAGUUAUGUGUCAUCUAUGUGAAAGUAUGUGUGUGGAAGAGUCGACCAAAAUAAGUCACAUAAGGGCAAUAAAAGCUUUUUCGUGUAAUUAGUGACAUUAAAUUAUGGUUGACCGCUUUGAUCAAGACCCGAGCAUUAUUGAGUACAAUUGAAUUUUCUAUCAUAAUUGUAUUAUACUAUAAUGAUCACAUCAGACGGUCGAAUUUUAAUUUUGUGAAUUGUAAUCAUUGGAAUCACAACAUGCCUGGUAAUGUGGUAUAACUUAUUUAGUAAGUUAUAUGCAUAUGUAAAUCUUUGUGAACCAACUACAAAGUGGAAGCAAAAUUUUCAAAAACCUUGUGAACUAUGAUGUGAACAAUAUCGUGAAAUACGACUAUGGUAGAAAAAUUAGGUAUUUUUGAUAAUGUUUUGGCCUUGAUCAAGGCGGCUAACCCUAUUUACGUUUGUGCUUCCUAUGGGGAACCCUAUCAUCAAGAGAGGUAAAAACAUUCCUAAAUUUUUACAUGGGCGGUUACAUGUCGUCUAAGUGGGUUUGUCUAUGUGUGUGUGUGAUGAAUCGACUAAGAUGGGUAGGUAAGAGCGUUUUUAUAUAACAAGUAACAUUGAAUUAAAGUUGAUCGUUUUAAUUGAGACCCGAAUGCUACCAAGUAUAGUUGAAUUUUUCUAUUCAUUGUCUUGUUUUUUACUAAAUGGUAUAUACAAUUGAAAACGUGAGAUAAAAUUAUUAGUCUAUGUGUUUUUAGAAAUAUAAGUCUUUAAAUAAUUAGAAUUUCGGUAAAUUCGGUAUUUACCAAAAACCAAACCAACUUUUUCGGUAUUUCUCGAUUUCGGUUUUUUUGAUUUCGAUUACCAAAAUUCGGUUUACCAAAUCAUAAAUUUUCGGUCGGUUUUCGAUCGGUUUGGUAUUUACCAAACCAAGUGGCAGCCCUAGUAGCCAUGGUUCCAAUCAGUAGCCAUUCGUUAUUACGAAUCAUAGCACCUAAACGUUGCCUUAAUAAACCACGACUUUUCUGCAGCUCCUUCGUCAUAGGUGCUCCUGUAUAAUUAACUGUUUGAGAAUAUAUACAUCCACAUGAGAAAAAUGGACCUACUUGUGAGUCUAUAAAGGUUUGAGUCAUUUCAUCUAUUAACAAUUGGUUCUGAAUAAGUUAUUAAAGCAGAUCACCUACGUGUGCAUGUUUAACGAUCACACAAGUUUUAUGUCACCCAGAAAAUUGUCUAGAUAUAUUCACCCACAUGUUGUGAAUAUAUACAUCCCACAUAAGAAAAAUUAGACCUUGUCGGUUUAUAAAGGUUUGAGCCAUUCCAUGAUACUUAUGAUCUGAAAUUUGUAUCCAAAAUCAUUUGACAACAGAUGAAGUGACCAAAAUCUAAACCGCACUUCAUUUUUCUGGGAUAAUAAUUUAAUGAGUUAUGACGUACGUAGGCAACUGUAGUGUGAACAAUCUGCUUGCGUGGUACUUGUUGUAUUUAACUUUGGUCUUGGCAUUGGGUCCCCUAAUUACUAUAUAUGUGCAUGGAAAAAUAGGAACAUCCUGCAGAAGUAAGCGAGAAAGGGAAGCCAUGCACAAGACAAGGGAUAUCGUGGACAGAUGUGUAGUGACACAGCUGUCAAAGGCUGGAAAUGGAUCCACAAGACAUGAUCGACUUGCAUUGAGAAUUGAGAUGUUUCCAUUAUUAGGAAGAAAAGUAUGGCAGGUGAAUUUGGAGCUCAUUACUAUGAAAAGCCUGCACUGGUAAGAGCUAGUGUUUCAUACAAUUUGAAUUUAUCUAAUAGCUCAUUCCCUUACUCUCAACUUCGAUCUCAGGUAGUGAAACCAUUGAGGGUAAGCAAUUCACCACAUGUUAUCAGAUACAAUGGCUUUGACAAAUGCAGCUUCUGAGUUUCCAGUUGUUGAGAAACUUGUUUCAUUGUAGGACGACAUUCCGGACUGGAGUUCAAGCAUGAAAAUGCUAUCUUCAUAACAGAGAGUACCUUCCCGGCAACUUCAUCAGUAGGAGCAGAAAUGCGUUGGUCGAAAACAUCGGCAAUAUGCAUUUGAUGGGCUGGUAACACAAAUGCUGAUGACGAUCCUGAUGGUAAAGGUAAGAGAAGAUCUCCUGGAUGCCUUCCCAUAAUUAUUUCCAGUGUUACCACUCCAAAGCUAUAAACAUCACAUUUCUCAUUCACUUCCAUUGUAUAAGCAAGCUCUGCCAACAAAAAGAUCAUGAAAGUUGAACUAUCAGUACUGACAAUUUGAAAUAGAGGUAUACAUUGUAGUUACACAAUGACUUGAAGCUUUACGAAACUGAAUCAUGCACAACCCAACCGUUCUACUUUGUUCUAGACAAGAGAAAGACAACAAUUAAAAUUCACUUAUGCAAUUUUUAUGAAGUUGAUGAUAAAACUAAUCAUUCAGACCAGAAAAACAGUAUAAAAUAGGAUAAUAUUGGAAUUUCAUUGCGCAAUUAAAAAAAAAGAACGAAAUAAUGCAUCUAAUGAAUCUGCAACGGCAUAGAAACAAAACUCCCAUACAGAAAGAGGAAAUUAGACAAUAUUACCUGGGGCUAUAUAACCAUAUGUGCCUGCAAGGGCAGUCCAGUUAGCUGAGUCUGGAUUUAAGAACUUAGCCGUGCCAAAAUCUGAAACACAUGCCUCAUAUUCCGAAUUUAGCAGAAUGUUCUUGCUCGAUAUGUCUCUAUGUACAAUUGGUGGCAAGCAAUCGUGGUGCAUGUAACACAAGGCAUGAGCAACACCUCUGAUGAUAUUUAACCUUUUACUCCACUCCAGCUCCUUAGCUUCAUCAUCUUUGCUCAGCAUUGUGGCCAAACUACCCCUUUCUAGAUAUUCAUAAACCAAAAACGAGUGUCGUGGGUGCGAACAAAAACCAAAGAGCUUCACAAUGUUUCGGUGUCGCAUCUCAGUUAGUGCCCUGAGUUCAUUCAAGAAUUCCUUCUGAAAAUUCUUGUCCUCAUUUCUUAGCAGAUGGAAUUUCUUCACAGCUACUGUGUUGGCAGAUGACAAACUUGCUCGGUAGACAUUUCCAUGUCCUCCUUUCCCAAUGCAAUACAUAGAAUCAAAAUCUUCAGUUGCAUUUAUGAUUUCCUCAUGCAUGGUUUUUCCAUUUAACGGAAGUACAGAACAGAAUAUCUCAUCCAUGUUACUUUCUUCUACAUGUGGAUGUUUCUGUUUUCUUUUUAGUAAAAUUGCAAAUAGAAAGAUUGAUAGAACUGCUACUGCUCCUAUAAGAGGGAAGGUUACAAGAGCUACCAGUCUGAGGUCUUUUUUCGAGCUUUGUUUAUUGCAGGGUUUCAAAAAUCGAACGUUUCCACACAAUCCUUUGUUCCCUGCUAAUGCUUCUUGGUUAGCAUCUUGAAAUGCUUUGUUGUUCGGAAGUGCACCUUCCAAGUCAUUGUAGGAGACGUCGACAUAUGUUAGCCCAAGCAUGUCUUUGAAACUUAUUGGAAUGAUACCAGAAAGGUUAUUGUGGGAAAUAUUGAGGUUCUCCAGACUCUCCAUACCGCUAAGUUCUGAUGGUAUCAUAUCUUCAAGUGUAUUAUGACUCAAGUCUAGUUGGGACAGUUGAGUUAACUUUCCCAACUGAAACGGAAUUGCUUGACUAAACUCAUUGUUGCUCAAAUUCAAGUAGUUUAAUUUGAGAAAGUCUCCCACAAAGCUUGGAAUGGAGUCAUUGAACUUGUUUUUUGAUAGAUCAAGAUUUUCUAGAUCAGUCAAUGAUCCCAACUCUAUAGGGACACGACCUGAAAGUUGGUUAUCAUCCAACUUCAGCUUCAACAAAGAAGUCAGUCUCCCUAACUCCUUUGGAAUAGUACCAACUAAACCAUUGGAAGAAAAAUCAAGUUCAUGAAGUUGGGUUGCAUUUCCAAUCUCAGAAGGUAUAGAACCAGUAAGAUUGUUUCCUGCCAUUCGGAGGGUCACUAAAUUUGGGGACUGUCCCCAAUUUUUUGAAACCUCCCCAGAGAAUGCAUUGUGGCUCACAUCUAUAAAUUUAAGAUCAGGAUAAACACCAAAGAGGUCAGAUAUGUUGCCAGUAAAUCGGUUCCCAUUAAGAUGGAGUCUGAAUAAGCUGGUGCAUGUUUUCAAGCUUUUUGGGAUUGUGCCAAUCAAAUAGUUGGUGUUUACAGAAAAAUUAGUGAGUAAUCCGCCUUGGCAAAUGUUUUGAGGCAAAUAGCCAACAAACUGAUUUGUGUCCAAACCGAGUUUAACUAACUUCAUAAGAUUUCCUAUCUCCUGGGGGAUAGAGCCGGAAAGUUGGUUGUCUCGGAGGAUCAAGUAUUCCAAGUUGCUCAAGUUGCCAAAUGAAGUAGGAAUGGAACCAUUGAGUUGGUUCUCACCUAAUUCUACCUUAACAAGAGAUUUCAGGUUCCCUAUCUCUUUAGGAAUGGUGCCUGACAGGUUGUUUCUAAAGAGAAGGAGAAAGGUGAGGUUUUUGAGAUCACCAAGUGUUGUUGGAAUUGACCCAAUGAGAUUAUUCUCCCCUGAUUCUAGACGCAGAAGAGAUUUCAAAUUCCCAAUCUCUCUAGGAAUGAUACCAGAAAGUCUAUUUAAAUAGAGAUAGAGAACCCUAAGAUUAGUUAGAAGACCAAUUUCAGGUGGGAUUCUCCCGGUGAACUGGUUUUCGGAGAGAUCAAGAUAAAUGAGUUUAGAGAGGGAACUGAUUUGUGGUGGGAUGGCACCGAAGAGUUUAUUCAAGGUUAGGUUAAGAUAAGUAAGAUUGGAAAAGGAUAUGAACGAAAGUUCGUGCAGCGUACCUUGUAUAGUGGUAUUAGCAAGGCUAAUGUUGGUGACACUUCCAGCAGCAUUGCACAAAAUACCAGUCCAAUUGCAUGGACUUGUAUUUGCUCUCCAAUCCUUGAGCUGGUUAGUUUGACUCAGAAAGCUGGCUUUCCAUUUCAGAAGAGCCUCUGCUUCAGUUUCUGAACUAAUAGAAGCAAAACUAAGAAGAUGAAGGAACAAGAUAAAGCAGUAAGCUGGAGCUAAAGAUCUCAUCAUGGCUUUUGCUUUGUUUAUGUGUAUAAAAUUAAGGUCUCAUCAUCAAGUCUAGCAUUUUCCAUUAUAUAGUUGUGAAAUUCUUCAUGGUAGUGACUCGAAAGUCGAGUCUCUCGAAUAAUCGAUCUUCUUUUGGGCAAGUGAGUUUGUAGUAUACCUCAAGUCAAAGACUGAAGACUUGGAAUCAAUACCGACCUCGCUAGCCAGCUAUGUGAACAAAUGAAAUAAUUGAUCUAGUCUUGUCUACUCUAUACAUACAUGAGCUGCCAUUAUGGACUUGUUUGAUAGGUAUGGACAACAAAAAGAGAAUCUGAUCGAAUUCUUAGGGCUCCUGUACAUCACAGGAAAUCUUAGCUCUAUUUUGUAAUUAUAAUUGAAUCCGAAACACUAGAUUUAGAUAUAAAGAGGAAAAAAAAAGGCUAAUUAACGAGGAGUACCUUUUGGCUGGGCGAAUUUCAUCAGAGAGUUUGAUGAGUUUUUAACUUCUGGAAUUGAGUGAAAAUGGGGGAUUUUCCGAUCUUGAUGUUGGGUUGAUGAUAAGCAAUUUAGGGCUUUGGCAACAUGCAGAGUAUCCUAUAAUUUACCGUUUCAAAAACUAUUUACAUGUUGCUGGGCUGGUAUCUGUUUUCCAAUUUCAGUUUCGGCUUUUAGUGUCUGAGCCCUGUAUUGGUACUCCAUUGUGGGUUGCAUUCAUUGCAGACCCCACCCCACAAGUAAGUAACUUGGGGUGUAAAUACCAAUUUUAUUUUCUAAAAAAUUCAGAUAAUUUUAUUACUUAUUCACGUUUUGUAUUAAAAAUACUGACAACAAGCAAUCAAACUAGCUCGUAUAAAAAAAACAAUCAAACUAUCUGACAAGCGACCUAAAGGAACCGGCCAAAAUUUGGGCAUGAGUCCAUAGAUCGUACCCAAAGCUAGGCAGCCCAAAAAAGGAAAGAAACUACAUAUGGGGCAUAGUGACCUUUCAUCGAAAAGGCAAAACGGGAGGAAAAGAGUGCAGAAAUCUCCCGAGCCGAUGAGCCUCCGGUUAGUUCUUCCAAUUAUUUAUCAAGUUAUUUCUCUAGUUACAUUCCAUUUCUUCUUUCUUUCUUUCCCUUUGUGGAGUUGUUAAAAGUAAAAUCUUCCAUUUGGUAUGAUUCCAUUGAACUGUUUAUCAACUUUGGCUACUCAAUCCGAUUCAUUUGCAUGUUUUUCAAUAGAGUGUUGCUAAAUGCACCCAACAAAUUACUAAAUAGACCCGGCAUCAAAUAAUUGUCUAUAAAUUUCCAACUUUGUCCCUCUUAUGCAAACCCAGCACCAGAUGUCUUUUGCAAACCCAACACCAUCUGAUGAGUUUAUGAAUUUUGAUGAAUCCCACCCAGUACUUCUUGUGCGCUACUCAGACUAAUAAGAAUGACACAUAUGGAUUAAGAAAUGAUCCUAAUCCUCUUUUCUAGAAUCGCAUCCCUGCAUAUAGCUAGCUGUUUCCACUUUGCAUCCCGUCCGAUUUAAGCAAACGAUUCCUAUCGUUCCCUUCGCUUUUGUAACAUCUAUAGUUUAGUAAUAAAGUUCAUAUGUGAAAACUAAAAAGCGCACCACGAUUAAGGAAUACCUCAACUUUCUACACUCUAGGGUUAUAUUAUAUGCAGAGAGAGCAGCUAGCAGAGGUCAAAAAGACGAGGCAUCGAUCUCACUAUAUGGCACUACAUUCUUAUAUAAAUCCAUGGAUCUCUCUCUCUCUCUACAUUCAUUGAAGAAGGGAACAGAACAAAAAUACUUAUGUUCAUUGAAGAAGGGAACGAAACAAAUAUACAUCUGGAAAUUGAAUGAAGAACCAACAAUUGAAUACAAGAUUGACCGCAUAAUACAAGACCACAUGUAGCAAACUAACGCAAAAGGAACCAGUGAUAAUUAGGGGGCACAACAUCUGAAUUUUGGCCGCUUUACGAUUAACUGAAUUUUUUUGUUGGGUAUAACUAAGGGUAAAUUUGGAAUAUUACAUAUAAUCUUCUAAGGCUGGGUCUAUUUAGGAAUUUGCUGAGUCUAUCUAGCAUGACCCUUUUCCAUACUAUAUAUCUUCCUCGAUUUGGGUUAUUAUGCAUGUAUUGUCAUUGUGUUUGAUAAGAAAAUAAUAAAUUUUCUCAUAUAUGGGAUUCAGGUUUAGGAAUGUGUAUUGUCCUGUUUGUAUCAGAUUGAGGCUUAUUGUCUGUAUCUGUUGUUGAAUUUGUUGAUUGGAAACUAAAAACUGAUUGUAUUCUUGAAAAUACCAAGAUUUAACCUAUGGAUUGUACAAAUUCUAUGUUUAACACCUAAUUUUUGAAACUAAUCAACAAUGUAAAAGUUUUGUUUCCACCUACCAAAAACAAAGGAAAUUUCCCACAAUGUCACUAAACACAGCAAAAUCCUGGAUUCUAUUAGAACAUAAGUACGUUUUGUGAGUUUUGUGAGGUAAGCGAGUUAAAGAUUAAUCCGUCCCCUAACUUGAAUUAAUUGAAUGGAGAAAAAAUAUUACAAAUGGGAAAGAGGGACGAGGCCAAGAUCUUUCUAACCGAAUAACACAAAUUGAAAAGAAACCCAAAGAAAUGCUAAUAACAGCUGAGAUAACAAUCUUAACACAGGCUUUAAGCACCUUCAUGGUAUUUGACCAGCCAGCAGCUAAUAUCUUACAAUACAACCUGAAUGCCCUCAAACCAAAAAAAAAAAAAAAAACAACAAAAAACGUGAAUGCCCAAUAAAAAAACUCCAAUGAAUGAGGUUUUUUUAUUUUAUUUUAAUCAUACAUGUACUGGAUCAAUGUACAUAUUCCUGAAAGUAAUAUUUUAUAAUAAGAAAAUAUCUAGGACAAUCUUUAUUCGGGAAAUAAGACAUGCUGAGAGUGAAGUAUAUAUGUAGGAGAGGAAGCACACUCUUCAGUUUUCUGUUUCUUAGAUAGUCAAACCAUUGAGAGCAAGCAAUUCACCGUGUGUUAUCAUAUAUAACGGCUUCGACAAAUGCAGCCUUUGAGUUUCCAAUUGUUGAGAAACUUGCCUCAUUGUUGGAUGAGACUGAGGAAUUCAUGCAUGAAAAUACUAUAUUCACAAUACAGAGCACUUCCCCUGCAACUUGAUCAAUUAGAGGGGAUAUGCGUUGGUCCAAAACAUCCAAAAUUGGCAUUCCAAUAGCUGGUAAUGCAGUUGGUGAGGACGAUAAAGAUGACAAAAGAUCUCCCGGAUGUUUUCCCAUAAUUAUUUCCAGUGUCACCACUCCAAAGCUAAAUACAUCACACUUCUCAUUUACCACCAUUGUAUAAGCAAGCUUUGCAAAAAUAAAAAUAAUAUCAAACUUUGCAAUAUUUAUAUCCAGUUUCACUACUGAUAAUAAUGAGUUAAUGGAAGCUUAAACAAUGCAUGAUAUGGUGACAAGUUUAGUGUUCAGAACAUUUUGUAUGCAGUGGCUGUCUAUCAAAAUCAAAACUCUAACAACCCCGAACCACACUACAAAAACAGAAAAAAGGAAAAAAUAAAAUGAAAUAAAAUAAAAACAAUAUUACCUGGUGCAACAUAUCCAUAUGUGCAUGCAAGGGCCAUCCAAUUCGCUGAGUCCGGGUUCAAGAACUUCACAGUGCCGAAGUCUGAAACACAGGCCUCAUAUUCAGAAUCGAACAAAAUAUUUUUGCUCGAUAUGUCCCGGUGCACAAUUGGCGGCAAGCAAUCAUGGUGCAUGUAACAUAGAGCAUGAGCUACACCUUUAACAAUAGUCACCCUUUUGCUCCAUCCCAAUUCUUUAGCUUCCUCAUAUUUGCUCAAUACUGCUGCCAAACUACCCUUUUCAAAAUACUCAUACACCAAAAUCUGAAACACACGCCUCAUACUCUGCAUCCAGUAAAAUGAUUUUGCUCGAUAUGUCCCGAUGUACAAUCGGAGGCAAGCAAUCGUGGUGCAUGUAACACAAGGCAUUAGCUAGACCUUUAACAAUAUUCACCCUUCUACUCCACCCAAGUUCCCUACCUUCUUCAUCCUUGCUCAACAUUGUGGCCAAACUACCCUUUUCAAAAUACUCAUACACAAAAAAUGAUUGUCGCCUAUGUGAACAAAAACCAUAGAGCUUCACAAUAUUUCGGUGUCGCAUCUCAGUUAGUGCCCUGAUUUCAUUCAAGAAUUCCUUAUGAAAGUUUUCAUCAUCAGCGCAUAACAGAUGAAGUUUCUUCACGGCUACUGUGGCAACAUUUGACAAAGUUGCUUUGUAAACGCUUCCCUGUUCUCCCCGUCCUAUGCAAUACAUGGGAUCAAAAUCUUCUGUCGCCCUCAUGAUUUUCAAACAUUGUCUUUCCAUCAAACUUUAAUAUUGAAAAAGAAAUUUCUUCAUUCUUGCUUUCUUCUUCUGGACGCCGAUGCUUCUUCUUUCUUUUUGUUACAACAGAAAUUAUAAAGGCUAGAAGUGCAAGUGCUCCGAGAACAGGGAAGAUAACAAGAAGUACAAGUUUAUUGUCUUUCUUUGGGCUUUCUUUGUUGCAGACUUGCAAGAAACUUGAGUUGCCACACAACCCCUUGUUCACUUGCAAUGCUUCUCGCGAAGCAGUUUGAAAUGCUUUGAUGUUUGGUAUUGGACCUUCCAAGUGAUUGUAGGACACGUCAACAUAUGUUAGCCCAUACAUAUCUUCCAUACUUGUUGGAAUGAGAUCAGAAAGAUUGUUGUGGGAUAUAUUAAUAUCUCUAGACUCUGCAUUUUGCUAAUAUCUGAUGGUAUCUGACCAUCAAGCACGUUAAAACUCAAAUCUAGUUGGGACAGUUGAGAUAACUUUCCCAACUGAAAUGGAAUUACCUGAUCAAACUUGUUGUGGCUCAAAUUCAAGUAGUGUAACUUGGUAAAGUCACCCAGAAAACUUGGAAUUGAAUCAUGGAAUUUGUUUGUUGAUAAAUCAAGAUAUUGUAGAUCAAUCAAUGAUUUCAACUCUGAAGGGACACGGCCUGAAAGUUUAUUGACAUCCAACAUCAACUUCACUAUUAAAGAUACGAUUUAAAGGACUCCAUGCACUUUUAGUUUCUGGUCUUUUGUGCUUACCAACAAAGCAUGGCAAUGGAAAUACCUAACAAAAAAACGGUUCGUUUCGAAAAAUAAAAAUGAAAUAGAAUUUCCAUUUUUGUUAUGGGCUGGGGAUUCAAAGUACUGAUGUCCCCCUGCUUUGUUGGUAGGCACAAAAGAGAACUGCUCAUGGCUCUCAAUUCUCGUUCAUUUCACCAUUUCAGUAUCAUUGAUAUUGAAGGUAUAAGGAUAGUUGGCAAUCCUUUCAUCCUACAAAACACUUUGAGAUAAUGUUAUCUGAUCAAGAACAAGUGGCGCUAAUAUCCCUUAUGGUUUCAGGUAAAACAUGCAUCUGCAUAUCAUUGUUUUUCACAGAGGUUAGCAGCUUCGCUUGCUAUCCUAGUACUGAGUCUUCUGCUGUCCUGAGGUUCAAAGUCUCUUAUAUUAGUUUAAUAUAAAAUGGACAACUGAGUCUGUGGGAAGUGCCUUAGCGCUCAAACCAGUCAAAGGGUUGAGAUCUUUUGUUAUGCCAACCCGUGACCAAAUGGUUUGAUGCUCAAGGCUCCAGCUGGGAUUUCAUGAUACGUUAUCCGAUGCAUAAGCUGGUCCCUGUAUGGUUCAAAGACCAGUUGCUAUCAGCUGUGUCAAGGUCCACUAAUGGACUGAAUAAGAGGGUUUGAAACCUCUUUGCUCCCUGUUUGAAUCAUUCAUGUUUUAGGAAAAGGUUAUUUGUUUUAUUGAGAUUGCUUGUGUCAUCUCUGUGUUUGGACACAUCACUUUCAGUAUGGGAGCCAAACACUUCUGUCCAAACCUUUCUGAAACAUGUUGAGGUCAGCUUGCAUCAUCCUUGAUGCCAUUGUUGGCCUAUAUAUAUCUACAGCUUUGGCUUUGCUCAAUGGUUGUAGAAAACUACCUUAUUGCGUUUUCUUUGUUGAGUCUAGUUUUUAGCUUGCAUUGUUCAUGCUGCUUUAAGUCUUCUUCGUGACUGUAAACCUUAGAGCUUGAACUCAAAACUUCUUUCAUCAACUCAUAUCAUGUUGCAUACCAUGAGGGAUGUGUAGUGCAACCAACCCAAGAAGCGUUCAAGGUUGAAUCUGCUAGUGGUUAGCUGAAUUCACGAACAAGGCUUCUAAAAGUGUCCCAUGUUGUAAGAACUUAGAAACAAGAGAGGGAAUAGGUCUAGACUAGUUCGGGACUAGGAAUGAUAGCACUGUGGUAGUGUAUCACUAGAACUAUUAUUCUUGUAAGAAGUUACUUCAACUUAGUGGAAAUUUUUGUCUCUCAAGAGUUAGAGACACGCAAUUUUUCUCCCUGUAUUCAGGGUUUCUACGAGUAAAAAACAUCCUUGUGUUGAUUCUUUAUUUGCUGCAAUUUACUUUUUGCAAACACGUAUCCUGUGAUUCUGGGAUAGCAUAAGUCAUUGCUAUUCUCGGAUACAGAAGUCAACGAAAAUUCAAAAAAUGCCUAUUCACCCCCCCUCUAGGAACUUUAAAAAGUCAUCAAAAAACAUAGCAAAUAUGGGGAAAAGCGAGAAAGAGAUUAUACCGAGGUACAAACCAAUGGGACAAAGCUUUAGGAGACCCAAUUUGAACCAUUUCAUAACCAAAAUUGAAUAUCNNNNNNNNNNNNNNNNNNNNNNNNNNNNNNNNNNNNNNNNNNNNNNNNNNNNNNNNNNNNNNNNNNNNNNNNNNNNNNNNNNNNNNNNNNNNNNNNNNNNNNNNNNNNNNNNNNNNNNNNNNNNNNNNNNNNNNNNNNNNNNNNNNNNNNNNNNNNNNNNNNNNNNNNNNNNNNNNNNNNNNNNNNNNNNNNNNNNNNNNNNNNNNNNNNNNNNNNNNNNNNNNNNNNNNNNNNNNNNNNNNNNNNNNNNNNNNNNNNNNNNNNNNNNNNNNNNNNNNNNNNNNNNNNNNNNNNNNNNNNNNNNNNNNNNNNNNNNNNNNNNNNNNNNNNNNNNNNNNNNNGCUGAGUCUAGAAAGUUCUCUUAGUAGUCUUAAGGCUGAUAUGAUAGCUCUUGAAGUUUCUCUCAAGGAAUCUCAGCAACAGUUUGCUAAAUUUUCAAUAGGGUCUGAAAAAUUGACCAAGAUGUGUGGAAUGGGUAGACCAGAUAAGAACAAACAGGGUUUAGGGUUUGGAACUGGCGAGAACUCUAAGAAUAGUGGAACUGUGUUUGUCAAAAGUAAAGUUCCUGAUGAUAAAAUAGUAUCUAACAAGGUUGAGUCUCCAAAAAAAUUCAAACCUACCUGUCAUCACUGCGGUGUUCCUGGUCACAUCCGACCUAUUUGUAGGAAACUCUAAAACAGCCAGGCAUACCCUAGGAGAAACCAAGAGUCUACCAGUUUUCAGAGCAAUAAGUCGGUUGCAAGUUUCUUCACAUCUUUUCAAGCCACUCUAGAAAAGUCUCUACAGGAAUUUGCUAGGAUAGCUAAGGGUCUUUCUGUCCCUGUAGCUAGAGAACCGAAUAAGAGCUUAGCUUGGGUUAAGAAGGAGUCCAGACCUCAUGUUCUCAAACCUCCACACACAGAUUCAAAGUCUUUUGAUGAGUGUGACAAUAAUCCUGAUGAGGAAAACAUUGUCUGUUUCUUGUCACGUGUCUGGACAAAUCUAAGGCCUGUUAAGGAGUCUAGAACAGUAGCAGUGUGCCGCGUAGCUCUUACAGCUCUCACAUCGCGUUACGCUGAUUCUUGGUACAUAGACAAUGGUGCUUCAAGGCACAUGACUGGAGAUCCCAAGUGGUUCUCGUCUAUGGAUGACAUUCAUCCUGAAGGGAAUGUUGGUUUUGGGGAUGGAGCUCGGGCUCCGAUAGUAGGAAGUGGGACAGUAAAUUCCCCCGGUCUCCCGUGUUUGAAAAACGUCCUACUUGUCAAGGGUUUAGAAGUGAGUUUGUUAAGUGUAAGCCAGAUUGUUGAUGAACAUGAUUCAGUCACCUUUGAUAAGCAGAGAUGUGUUGUCUUAGAUGGUAAAGGAAAGAGCAUAAUGAGAGGAAAGAGGACGAGGGAUCAAUGCUAUUGUGUUGUAGCAAAAGAGAAGUUUUCACCUCAACUUUGUUUUAGAUCUAUGAUCUGUGAGGAACCCCUAGAUCUCUGGCAUAGACGAAUGUGUCACAUGAACCAUCAGGAUAUAGUAAAGCUGUCUUCGAAAGAAGCCGUCAGAGGGAUACCAAAGCUUGCCGGUAUCCCCCAAGGUAUUUGUGGUGAAUGUAAAGUUGGUAAGAUGACUCGGACCUCUCAUCCUUUAUUAAAUGCUGAUCCUACUACUCAUGUUCUUGAACUGCUGCAUCUAGACUUAGUAGGACCUGUUGAAACUAAAAGUAUUAGAGGAAGAAAGUAUGCUCUUGUAAUUGUUGAUGAUUUUUCUAGAUUCACUUGGGUGAGAUUUUUGUCUAACAAAGGUGAAACUUUUGAAAAUUAUUACAGUAUUGCUAAGAGAGUCACAAAUGAGAAACUGAAUGAUGACAUGCAUAUUGUUAGGAUCAGAUCAGAUCACGGUACUGAAUUCGAAAAACUCUUAUUUUGAANNNNNNNNNNNNNNNNNNNNNNNNNNNNNNNNNNNNNNNNNNNNNNNNNNNNNNNNNNNNNNNNNNNNNNNNNNNNNNNNNNNNNNNNNNNNNNNNNNNNNNNNNNNNNNNNNNNNNNNNNNNNNNNNNNNNNNNNNNNNNNNNNNNNNNNNNNNNNNNNNNNNNNNNNNNNNNNNNNNNNNNNNNNNNNNNNNNNNNNNNNNNNNNNNNNNNNNNNNNNNNNNNNNNNNNNNNNNNNNNNNNNNNNNNNNNNNNNNNNNNNNNNNNNNNNNNNNNNNNNNNNNNNNNNNNNNNNNNNNNNNNNNNNNNNNNNNNNNNNNNNNNNNNNNNNNNNNNNNNNNNNNNNNNNNNNNNNNNNNNNNNNNNNNNNNNNNNNNNNNNNNNNNNNNNNNNNNNNNNNNNNNNNNNNNNNNNNNNNNNNNNNNNNNNNNNNNNNNNNNNNNNNNNNNNNNNNNNNNNNNNNNNNNNNNNNNNNNNNNNNNNNNNNNNNNNNNNNNNNNNNNNNNNNNNNNNNNNNNNNNNNNNNNNNNNNNNNNNNNNNNNNNNNNNNNNNNNNNNNNNNNNNNNNNNNNNNNNNNNNNNNNNNNNNNNNNNNNNNNNNNNNNNNNNNNNNNNNNNNNNNNNNNNNNNNNNNNNNNNNNNNNNNNNNNNNNNNNNNNNNNNNNNNNNNNNNNNNNNNNNNNNNNNNNNNNNNNNNNNNNNNNNNNNNNNNNNNNNNNNNNNNNNNNNNNNNNNNNNNNNNNNNNNNNNNNNNNNNNNNNNNNNNNNNNNNNNNNNNNNNNNNNNNNNNNNNNNNNNNNNNNNNNNNNNNNNNNNNNNNNNNNNNNNNNNNNNNNNNNNNNNNNNNNNNNNNNNNNNNNNNNNNNNNNNNNNNNNNNNNNNNNNNNNNNNNNNNNNNNNNNNNNNNNNNAGUCAAAAUGGUAUGUUUAUCUGUCAAUCUAAGUAUGCACAGGACCUUGUCAAGAAGUUUGGGAUGAAAACGGCCACUGCCUUCCCCACUCCCAUGAGCACCAGUUGUAAAAUCAGUGCUGACAUGUCUGGUAUUAAUGUGGACCAAACCAAUUAUAGGAGUAUGAUUGGAAGUCUUAUGUAUUUGACUGCUAGUAGACCAGAUAUUGCUUAUAGUGUUGGUGUAUGUGCUCGUUAUCAAGCUAAUCCAAAACAAUCUCAUGUCAAAGCAGUAAAGCGCAUAAUCCGAUAUGUUGCUGGAACCUUUGAUCAUGGAAUUAAGGACACGACACUAAUGUUGAGAUUGCAGGAUACACUGACUCGGACUGGGCUGGAGAUGCAAAUGACAGAAAAAGCACUUCCAGUGGCUGUUUCUUUGUAGGCAACAAUCUUGUUUCAUGGCAUAGCAAGAAGCAAAAUUGUACCUCCCUCUCUACUGCUUAAGCUGAGUAUGUAGCAGCUGGUAGUUGUUGCACACAACUCAUGUGGAUGAAACAGAUGCUUGCAGACUAUGGUUUCCAGCAAGGUACGUUAUCUCUUUUCUGUGAUAAUACCUCCGCCAUAAACAUCUCAAAGAAUCCAGUGUUGCAUUCUAGGACCAAGCAUAUAGAGAUAAAAUAUCACUUCAUUCGUAGCUUGGUUGAAGAGAAACUGCUUGAACUUACUUUCAUUCCAACUGAAAAGCAAUUAGCUGAUUUGUUCACUAAACCACUUGACAAUGCUAGGCAUUUGAGUUUGUGCAAGGCUAUAGGAUUGUGUGACAACAAGUAAACACUUCCCCUGCUAGUGUGUGUUCUGUUGGUGUAUAUAUGUGUUUUUUUUUUUAAAAAUGUUUUUGUUUCCAGUUCCUCUUUACAAGUUCAGGGAUAGAGGACCUUCUUGGUAUCCUUAGUCAGUUUCUGAACUUGACCUAGGUGACUAUUUGUACUUCCUUUCCUUGUUUCAGUCUUACUCUUCACAUAGGUGUGUGUACAUGUUCGGAUAUUGUCGUAUGUGGUCUGACCUUUAUUGCAAAUCUGCAGUAUCCUUAUGUGCACUAUUACUAAUCACUUUGGUUGCACUAAAGCUUGGGCUAUAUACUUGAGAUAAGAGUUCAUACUAAGGGAGAGUUUGCUUUCCAAACUAACCUCAAAGUAAACAUUCUUUGGUUGUGGUGAACAAUUUAAGGGUGAGCAGAAACGAGGUUGGUUUGAAGAUUGAGGUUCACAGAACUCAAUGAUCUAGGCUAAUCUCAAAGUACACAUUCCUUGGUGGUGAUGAACGAUAUAAGGGUGGGAAGAAACGAGAUUGGUUUAGAAUUAGGGCGUUCUGGUUAGAACAAAGUUAAAAAAAAAUUGGUUGACAAUCACAAAUGACUUCUUGAAUCAGCUAGUCCUCCACUUGUCUUGACAUGUAGUGGGGAUUUCUGAGAUGCAUUCUAUCCUUCGAUGGGUUCGGAUGAUGUGUCCAUAUGAGUGUCCUUGUUACACAUAUUGUCCAAGGUCAACUGAUCUUGUGAAGCAAUGACACAUUUUCUGCUACAUGAACCUAUGAGGACGAUUUCUCAGUUAAGGCUGUGAUAUUAAUGAUUGGACCAAAAUAAAGUCAUGGUUAAAAGUAGCCUCUGGACUUUAAAAUCAAAUUCUAGAGAGAUAAGGAUGGAAUGACCAGAUGAUAUCCCUGCAUGACAUGGCUCACAUUGACAAUAAAUACUUAGUUGAUGCCCUCAAGCUUAUCAAGCACCAUGUGCUUAUUAUCUCACUUACACACUCACUCUAAAGUGCUGCAAAUAAAAAUAGAGACCAUUGGGACUUGUCACUAUCACAAACCUAUGUGAUUUGCUUUUGUUUGAUCAAGGUUUGUUUGUUUGUUAUGAUAUGUCACCUUGUGAGUCUAUGCUUAAACUGACUUCAAAAAACCAAGGAUGCAAAUUGAAUGGUCUCUUUCCUUAAGGCUUGUUUGUGCAGUCCUUUUCUCUAAGAGUAUUCAUCAGAAACAAACAAUUUUUCGCUUUUUCUUAUGCACACUCUUAGGGGGAGUAUAGGCUUGAGUAGUUUUAUUCUUGGUUUCUGUUUUAUUUGCAUGUGCUUACGUGGUUGCUUCCAUGGGUUUUCAUUGGUCACUCUGAACGGUGGUGUUUUGUCACGUCUCAAAGCAUCAUCAUUGCAUGGUCUUGUAUAUUUAAUUCUUAUAGCCGUUUUGAGCAGUUGGGAUUAGUGGGCUUUAUAGUUUUCGAGACACUCUGAUCGUGUCCAACGCUUCCGCUCUCACUCUCUCUCUCUCUUUCUUAAUCCUGUCUUUCUCUCUUCUUCUUUAUCUUCUCGAAACCCACUCUUCUUUUUCUCUUCUAUGAGUUUCCUCCUCUCCCAUCCACCUUCCAACCUUCUCUCGGUUAACAAUGUCGAAAACUCCGGCUGGCCCUAAUUUUGUCAAUCUCGGUGAUGAACCCACAAUGAAGGAGCCUUUGAAUCUGUUGCCUCUUCAAGCUGAGGUGCCUUUCCCUGGCGGUCAAUCUCUAUUGCUCACUGCUACCCCUGGAGGCCCCUCCAUAGCUGACAAGCUUCAAGCUCUGAUGGACCCAAUCCCUGCUGACGGGUGCAAAACCUGCAUCAAAUAAACCCUUUUUAUCGUUAGUAGCAUUGAGUAAGUAGGGUAUCGUAUAGGGCCGGGGAUUGAGGGUACCUUGCAAAACAAAGCGUUAGAAAAACACAACAAAUAUUAACAAGUAAUAAAACAUUUAAACAAUUUACAAAAGUAGCUACUGUUCCAUAGAACAGCAGUCGAAAACCUAAUUAAAAACCUAACCUAAACUACUCAGAAAAAUAUGAAAAUUUACAGAGAUCUACUAGACACACAGAGGAACUACUGUACAAAUUUUCAGGGGAUUCGGAGAUCGUUUGAUACGAAAAUAAAAUAAAAGAAAACAGAGAACAGAAGAGUGACGAAAAUCCUAAACUAAAAAGAAACAAAAACCUAAGCUACUAUAUACAUGUGAUCGUCUCUUUGCACACAAGAAAACACUAAAUCAGAUUCAUAUAAUCAAGUAGCUNNNNNNNNNNNNNNNNNNNNNNNNNNNNNGACCCUUUCACGUCUCCAACUCCUCAUACAUAUAGAGAACAUAUGAACAGCUGCUAUUAGGGUUAGAGAACCUUUAAUUUUCGUCCAUGGGCUCGCCGUUGUGGUCUGGGCCUUGAAAUUGAAGUUCUGGUCCAAAUCAGAAAUUCGGGCAGACUGACCUUUGGUCACUCAAACGGUCAUAACUUGGUCACCAAAAUAGCUAUUGACGAUCUGUGAAAAGUUCUGAAAACUAGACUCUUCUAGCUUUCUACUGAUAUAAAGUUCAUCUCCUGGAUCGUUGUGAGCUGAUCACAAUUCUCUGUCGAAGUUGACUGACUAUUCCUGGCAGAUUUUCUGAUUUCUUUCCUUGCGCCAUAUGGAUUCCUUUUCCUUCAAGAUUUCUCCUCUUUUACCUCUUUUGUGCUCCUCGACUGACCUAAAAACACAAACUAAGUUAAAAUCAAUAUUGUUAAAGGAAUUACAUAACUAAAUAGGGUCGGAAAUACAUUAAGAACGUUGCAUAAAAUGCACCUAUCACCUGCUGGUGCGCUGGGUAAACGUCCCCACUCUCCCUCUGGUGAAACUUUGGUCAAGAUCGCCAAGCCAUCUAUCUCCAGUGGUGGUGGACCAUCCUCAGCAGUUCCCCCUUCUCCAGCCUCUUCGGUUAGGUCUCCAGUUAGGACUCCCUCUCCUUCUUCUGAGGGUGUAUGGACCGAGUUGCCUGAUCCAGUUCCUGAACCCAAAUCCAAGCGCUGCAUGUCCAAGCAUCGAGCGUCGAGGCCUGCCUCUCCUCCUAGGACCGAAGGGCCCUCUGUUCCCCCUGUCGCUCCUCUGUCUGGAAUGCCUAAGGAUCCUUCCUUUCUCAUUCCCCCUUCAUCCUCGAGCCCUAAUCCCUCAGAACGCUCCAAGCCGGCUCCGGUCUCUCGCAAUCUUCGUUAUGGGCCUCGAAAUGCUGUAGAUAGGGGCAAGGCUCCCUUGGCCGAACGUCGGGUCCCUCUUAAGAAAAGGUCUGGUGAGUCUGGUUCUACCAAUUUUCCUCCUAUGUCUCAUUUUGAGUCUGACUCCCUUCGUGAUCUUUUCAAUACCUUUGUGAUGGGUAAGAAAAUUGUGUAUGAAAGACCCCUAGCUUUAGACUCUUUUCAUCCUGAGAUUAGGAAACUUCUUCAGCAUUGGGGAUGGGAUCAAGUCUUAGAGUCCUUUCCUAAGGUUAAUAAGACUUGGGUUCAAGAGUUUUACACCAACUUUCCCCAACAAGCUCCUAAAAAGGUUAAGAUUCAGCGUCAAUCCCCUAUUGUUGUCCCGGUUCGGGGUAAGAAUGUAGAUGUCUCUCCUCCAGGGAUUCGUGCUAGUCUUUCUCUCCCCGAGACUGCACCGAAUGCCAUUCAGUUUGUCUUGGAAUUCAUUGACUCCAUUUCUCUUCAGGAUCUGGGUGUUGCUCUUUAUCAGUCUUCCUUUCCCAUUCCUGCCUUGACUACACCCCAUCUUUCUAGUCAGUUUAUGUCUGAACUUUUUAAGAUUUUAGGGUUUGUGGUGCGCUCUUUGCUUACUCCUACCACCAACACAGGCUGCUCUGAUUAAGUACUUGACCACGAGUCCCGUUAAACUAGCCUUUCCUGCCGAGUACUUUAUGUACAAAGCAAUUUGGUCUGCUGGUACUUCCCUUCGUGGUUCCAGCUCUCUGGUUUUUCCUGCUGUGAUUACAAAGCUCUGCUUAGAUGCUGGUGUUCCCACUAUAGAUGGUGAUGUGUUUGCUCAAGAGAAUGAAGCUGUUCCGGUUGACAAGCUGUCUUUGGCUAAAUCUGUUGGUCAAUUUGGUGAUGUGUAUAUUGAGCCCCUUGAGUCCACUUUGUUGAAGCAGGAAGUUAGGCAUCAGGUUUCCAGUGCAGUGGCUACCUUGUCCCAGUUGUUUGCUUCUCACCUUUCUAAACUGAUCCUGGAGCUGAAGGAGCUGAAAGAGUCUGUACGGUCUCAUCAGGCCUCUGCUAUCCCCUCUGCUGGGGCCCCUGUAACUGAUGUGGAAUCCUCCUCCGAGUCAGGAUCUGAGGAGACAUCUUCCAGUGAUGGAGAGGAAGCUAUUUAACUCUGUGUGUUCAUGGUGUUCUGUCUUGGUGAUCUGUUUUAUGUUUCUUCUAGUUUGUUUUCCAUUGUAGGUUUCUAUUUCUUUUAAAACCUCUCGGAUAUUUUAUUCUUUGUUUCCCUUUGGUAUUCCUUGCCAAAAAGGGGGAGAAUUAGUUAUAGGAUUUGCUGGUUGCUGGUUUAUGUUUGUAAGACAUUGUUGGUUUUUAUGGCUGAUCAAUACAAUGUUUUAUGACUGUUUAAUGCAAUAGUAACUUCUCAGUGUAAGUAUGCUAAUAACUCAGUUGUAGUUGCUGUGUUUUUUCACUUGUUCUUGAAGUUGUUUUCUGCAGGUUUAUUUUCCCUACAAAUGAAGUGUUUUGUGAAGGAAUGCCAAAGGGGGAGAUUGAAGGUAUAAGGAUAGUUGGCAAUCCUUUCAUCCUGCAAAACACUUUGAGAUAAUGUUAUCUGAUCAAGNNNNNNNNNNNNNNNNNNNNNNNNNNNNNNNNNNNNNNNNNNNNNNNNNNNNNNNNNNNNNNNNNNNNNNNNNNNNNNNNNNNNNNNNNNNNNNNNNNNNNNNNNNNNNNNNNNNNNNNNNNNNNNNNNNNNNNNNNNNNNNNNNNNNNNNNNNNNNNNNNNAGUCUUCUGCUGUCUUGAGGUUCAAAGUCUGUUAUAUUAGUUUAAUAUAAAAUGGACAACUGAGUUUGUGGGUAAGUGCCUUAGCGCUCAAACCAGUCAAAGGGUUGAGAUCUUUUGUUAUGCCAACCCGUGACCAAAUGGUUUGAUGCUCAAGGCUCCAGCUGGGAUUUCAUGAUACGUUAUCCGAUGUAUAAGCUGGUCCCUGUAUGGUUCAAAGACCAGUUGCUAUCAGCUGUGUCAAAGUCCACUAAUGGACUGAGUAAGAGGGUUUGAAACCUCUUUGCUCCCUGUUUGAAUCAUUCAUGUUUUAGGAAAGGGUUAUUUGUCUUAUUGAGAUUGCUUGUGUCAUCUCUGUGUUUGGACACAUCACUUUUAAUAUGGGAGCCAAACACUUCUGUCCAAACCUUUCUGAAACAUGUUGAGGUCAGCUUGCAUCAUCCUUGAUGCCAUUGUUGGCCUAUAUAUAUCUACAGCUUUGGCUUUGCUCAAUGGUUGUAGAAAACUGCCUUAUUGCGUUUUCUUUGUUGAGUCUAGUUUUUAGCUUGCAUUGUUCAUGCUGCUCUAAGUCUUCUUCGUGACUGUAAAUCUUAGAGCUUGAACUCAAAACUUCUUUCAUCAACUCAUAUCAUGUUGCAUACCAUGAGGGAUGUGUAGUGCAACCAACCCAAGAAGCGUUCAAGGUUGAAUCUGCUAGUGGUUAGCUGAAUUCACGAACAAGGCUUCGAAAAGUGUCCCAUGUUGUAAGAACUUAGAAACAAGAGAGGGAAUAGGUCUAGACUAGUUCGGGACUAGGAAGGAUAGCACUGUGGUAGUAUAUCACUAGAACUAUUAUUCUUGUAAGAAGUUACUUCAACUUAGUGGAAGUUUUUGUCUCUCAAGAGUUAGAGACACGCAGUUUUUCUCCCUGCAUUCAGGGUUUCUGCGAGUAAAAAACAUCCUUGUGUUGUUUCUUUAUUUGCUGCAAUUUAUUUUCUGCAAACUCGUAUCCUGUGAUUCUGGGAUAGCACAAGUCAUUGCUAUCCUCGGAUACAGAAGACAACAAAAAUCAAAAAAGGCCUAUUCACCUCCCCUCUAGGCCCUUUAGAUAUUCAACAAUGUUUGAUUAUUGAGUGUCAUUUUCACUUUAUGAGCUGAUCUCCCCUAAAGUUUCAGUCAAUGAUUAUUGAUUAUUCAGUCACUGAUUUUCUUUUGUCAACUCGAAUGGGAUUGACUAUUGAGUACCCUGUCAUUUUCUUUUAAUUAGCUUGUAUUAUUUAGAUAUUGACUUAUCUUUGUCUGACAUAUAUAAUUGUGGCAUUAUCUGGUCAAAUUUCUCUGCGGCUAAAAAUCUCUAUCACAUCACAAUUUUAACUUCAAAAGCAGCAUUGGCAGCUUGACUAGUAACCAUACAUGGACUAGUCACUCGAUUCAAAUUCAGGCUUGUUGUUUGUGUAUAUAUGUAAUAUAUUGCUGUGUAUCCUUAAUGAACCUAAAAUACCAAAAAUUAUCCUAUGGAUUCUACAAAUUCUAUGUUUAACACUUAAAAGUAAUGAACAAUGUAAAAGUUCUGAUUCCUAGUAACCAAAAACAAAAGGAAAUUCUCACAACGUAACUAACCACAAGGAAAUCCUUGAUACUGUUAGCGCACAAGUACAUGUUUUUUGGGCAAGCGAGUUAAGGGUAAAUCAAUCUCCUAACUCGAGUUAAGGGAAAUCCUUGAUACUAUUAGCUCAUAAGGGCACAUAUCAGUUCUUAAUAAUGAUUCACUCAAGUGUAAUGUCCUGCUGACUGUUGUAUGUAGGAAUAUGCAUUUGGGGAUAAGAGCACCAGGGAAACCAUUUGCAUUGUUGGCCUUGAUUGUGGAUGUGAAUGUCUGCACUGGAUUGCUAGCUAGUCUUCCCAUGCCUAUCAGUUCAUCCUCAAUCAACGUUCAUCCUCAAUCAACAUCAGGUUUGCCAUGGCUUAAUGCUCAUCCUCAACAUUUAUAUCAUCUGCCAACAUUACCGUUUCUAGAACUAUUUACAUGUUACUCGUGACUCGGAUGUGAACGAAGAAACUGUGCAGAGACUAUUAACUGGGUGUUUGUUUUACAAUUUCAGUUUGGGCUUUUAGUGUCUGACCCCUUUAUUAGUAUCCCCUGCAUAACAUCCAAUUUCAUGAUCUCAUAUUCUUUUGUAUAGUGUUUACCCUAUAUAAUUGUAUUUCAAUCUCAUGAAUUCAUAUGGAUAGGCUCGAAAGAUUUGGGGGUGAUCAAAGUAUACUAUGGAGUAGUAGUUGCCCGACCCCGAACAUUUCCAAAAUUGCUAUUGAGGAAAGUGAUUUACAAUUUCAUCUCAAUUUCAAAGCCGGAGAGACAAAGAACGAAGAAGAAACAAGGUAUAUAACACUUCGAAAUUUUACUUCACUCCAUCCAUGAGGCUCAGGUUUGCUGUCUCGCACUCCUCUUAAUAAACCCUAUUAUGAUCCAAGUUAAUUACAUACUUUUUCUAUUUCAUUUUUUCUUUACUUAUGAUCCAAAUUAAUUACAUAUUUUUUCUAUUUCAUUUUUUCCUUUAAUUCAAUUCAUGUUAUUGAUAGGAACAACAAUAUUGCUAUAAGAUAGAAUUUUCCAGCAAACACUAUAGUCCUAUAAUCCAAUAUACAUGUUAGAAAAGAUACAACUUAUCUACUGACUAACAUAACCCAAACCCAAAAGCUUUCACAUCUCACGUAUAGGAAUAUUGUCUUACUUGCUUCACAAUGGCUAGUGAACACAAUAGUGUAAACGUCAAAACCAUGCAAUUAUACAAAGAAAUCUUUGAUUUACUUAUCUCUACACGUAGACAAAACAUUUCAAAAAAUCAAAACAUGAGCUUAAGUACAGAAUCGAAAUGGAAAUAGAUACAACCUUGGAAACAGAAACCUUUAGGAAUUGCAAGGCUUAACUACAUAAUAUAAGAAAGAAAAACAUUCUCAGGUAGCCAAAGAAAAACCAUCAACAGCAAACAAUUCACCUAGUGUUAUCAUACGUAACGGCUUUGACAAAUGCAGCCUCUGAAGACUAUCAAAUUGUUUAGAAACUUGUUUCAUUGUCGGACGAAAUCGAGGACAAGAAUUUACGCAUGCAAAUGCUAUCUUCAUAAGUCAGAGAACUUCCUCUGGAACUUGAUGAGUCGGAGGGGAAAUGCGUUGGUCCAAAACAUCCACAACUAGCAUCGGAUGGACAGGUAAGGCAGUUGAUGAUGAUGCUGCUGACGACCCUGAUGAUAGAGAUGAAAGAAAAUCUCCAGGAUGUCUUCCCAUAACUAUCUCUAAUGCCACCACUCCAAAGCUAAAAACAUUCUCCUAAAACAAUAGCAUAAGAUUUGAAACAUACUAUGGGAGCAGACAAAAACAUUUACCUGGUGCAACAUAUCUGUAUGUGCCAGCAAGGGCAGUCCAAUUCGCUGAGUCUGGGUUCAAGAACUUAGCAGUGCCGAAAUCUGAAACACAGUCCUCAUAUUCGGAAUCCAGCAAAAUGUUUUUGCUUGAUAUGUCCCGGUACACAAUCGGCGGCAAGCAAUCAUGGUGCAUGUAACAUAGAGCAUGAGCCACACCUUUAACAAUAGUCACCCUUUUGCUCCAUCCUAGUUCUUUAGUUUCUUCAUCAUUGCUCAAUACUGUUGCCAAACUACCCUUUUCAAGAUACUCAUACACCACAAAUGAGUGUCGUCUAUGUGAACAGAAACCAUAAAGCUUCACAAUAUUUUGGUGUCGCAUCUCAGUUAGUGCCUUGAUUUCAUUCAAGAAUUCCUUUUUGAAAUUCUCAUCAUCUGGGCAUAACAGAUGAAGUUUCUUCACGGCUACUGUGUCAGCAUUUGACAAAGUUGCUUUGUAGAGCUUCCUUGUCCUCCCUGUCCUAUGUCAUACGAGGAAUCAAAAUCUUCAAUUGCCCUUAUGAUUUCUUCAAAUAUUGUCUUUCCAUCAAACUUUAAUAUCGAAAAAGAUAUUUCUUCAUUCCUGUGUUUUUCUUCUAUAUGCUGAUAUUUCUUUUUCCGUUUUGCUAUAAUAGCAAAUAUAAAGGCUAGAAGUGCAAGUGCUCCGAGAACAGGGAAGAUAACAAGAAGUACAGGUUUGUUGUCUUUCUUUGGGCUUUCUUUGUUGCAGACUUGCAAGAAAGUGGAGUUGCCUCACAACCCCUUGUUCCCUUGCAAUGCUUCUCGAGAAGCAGUUUGAAAUGCUUUGAUGUUUGGUAUUGGACCUUCCAAGUGAUUGUAGGAUACAUCAACAUAUGUUAGCCCAUACAUGUCUGCCAUACUUGUUGGAAUGAAACCAGAAAGAUUGUUGUGGGAUAUAUCAAGUAUCUCCAGACUCUGCAUUUUGCUAAUGUCUGAUGUUAUAUUACCUUUGAGCACGUUAAAACUCAGAUCUAGCUGGGACAGCUGAGUUAACUUCCCCAACUAAAAUGGAAUUACCUGACCGAACUUGUUGUUGCUUAAAUUCAAGUAAUAUAAGUUGAGAAAUUCGCCUAUAAAGCUUGGAAUCGAAUCAUUGAAUUUGUUUCUUGAGAGAUCAAGAUAGUCUAGAUAAUUCAAUGAUUUCAACUCCAAUGGGACACGACCUGAAAGUUGAUUGCCAUCCAACAUCAGCUUCAGCAAAGACGUUAAUCCCCCAAACUCCUUCGGGAUAGUUCCAACUACGCCAUCUGAAGAUAGAUCGAGUCACGAAUUUGGGUUGCGUUUCCAAGCUCAGCUGGUAUGAAACCAGUAAGCUUGUUUCCCGCAAUUAGUAAGGUCGCUAAAUUUGGACACAAUCCCCAAUUUGGUGAGAUUUCACCAUAAAAUUUAUUGCGACUCAAAUCUAUAAAAUUGCGACUCGGAUAAACACCAAAGGCUUCAGAAAUGUUACAUGUCAAUUGGUUCUCUAGAAGAUGCACUCUUUCUAAGCUAGUGCAGGUUUUUAAACUUUUAGGGAUUAGGCCAAUUAGAAUAUUAGCUGGUUCUUAUGUACUGCAAAGUAUUUGAGUGAUCUAGCUCGACACAUGUUUUGUGGCAAAUGACCAGAAAAUUGGUUUGCAUACAAUUGCAAUGAAAUCAAUUUUGGGAUAUUUUCCAACUCUUUUGGAAUAGUGCCAGAGAGAUUAUUUUCUUCUAGAGAGAGAAUGCUAAGGUUGGUUAGAUCACUCAAUGUUUUCGGAAUUGAACCACUGAGUUUAUUGGCAUUUAACUCUAGAUUCACCAAAGAUUUAAGAUUCUCUAACUCUUUUGGAAUGGCGCCAGAAAGAUUAUUUGAAUAGAGAUAAAGAUUGGUAAGGUUUGUAAGAUCACCCAAUGUUGUCGGAAUUGAACCACUGAGGUUGUUGACGCUCAACCGUAGAUCCACUAGAGAUUUUAGAUUCCCUAACUCUUUUGGAAUGGUGCCAGAGAGGUUAUUUCUUUGCAGAUGGAGAGUGGUAAAGUUGGUCAGUUCACUCAAUGUUGUUUGAAUUGAACCUCUGAGUUUAUUGGUGUUCAGCCGUAGAUCCACCAAAGAUUUCAGGUUUCCCAACUCUUUUGGAAUGAUACCAGAGAGGUUAUUCCUAUGAAGGUAAAGAGUGGUAAGGGUGGUCAGAUUACCCAAUGUUUUCGGAAUGGAACCAUUGAGUUGAUUGAUGCUCAAAUCAAGAACUACCAAGGAUUUCAAGUUCCCUAACUCUUUUGGAAUGGUGACAGAGAGGUUAUUUUGGCCAAGGUAGAGCUCGGUAAUGUUUAUGAGAUCGCCAAGUAAUGCUGGAAUUAAACCAUCGAGUUUAUUAUAGCUCAUUGAUAGACUCACAAGUGAUUUCAGGUUCCCUAUUGAAGAAGGAAUAACAUCCGAAAGGUUAUUUGUGUGGAGAUAGAGAAAUGUAAGAUUUCCAAGAAGACCAAUUUCUGGUGGAAUUCUCCCGGAAAACUGAUUACUAGAGAGGUCAAGACGAAGGAGUUUGGAGAGGGAACUGAUUUGAGGUGGGAUGACAUAGAAGAAUUUAUUCAAGGUGAGGUUAAGAUAUUCAAGAUUGGGAAAGGAUAUGAACGAAAGUUCGCGCACGUACCUUGUAUGGUGGCAUUUCCAAGGCUGAUGUCGGGUAAUACUUCCAGCUGCAUUGCAUGAAAUACCGGUCCAAUUGCAUGGGAUUCCGUUUGCUUUGAGGUUGCUGGAAGAAUUGGUGGCAUUGGUAUCAGUACUCUUUGGAAGGUAAAUCCAAUCCUUGAGCAGUUUAUUUUGAGAGGUUUGAUUUAGAAAGCUCAUUUUCCAUUUGAGAAGAGCCUCUGCUUCAGUAGUUGAACUGGCAGAAGCAAAAUGUGGAAUGUAGUUUAGUGAUGAGGGUAUGUGAAAAUACAAGAAAAGGCAGAAAACUAGAGGGGCUAUGUUAUCGAUACUUGUAGAUCUCAUGGCCUUCGUCAUUGCUGUGAAACCCGACAGGCUUUAUUUAUAGGCUUUCUCUACAUAUCUUCUAUAAUCAACUCUUUGUUCUUAUCUUUUGGUUUUGUUCUGAAUUGGAGCUUCUGAUAUACUUCAUCCAGUCAAAUUCUAUAAUUUGUCUCAUUUAAUUUUCCAAUUUUGGAGGGUGCUAUUGAUUACUUUCAACAAGAUCUGUUCAAGUCCUUACACACAGGUAUUGGACGCUGGCCACUAGUUGGUAAAAGGGAAGGAAAUGGAAGUAUGGAACUGAUGCAGAGACUAACCAGCUCUUACUGAAAACUUGUCCCUCGUUGUCAGAAGCAACAUUGCUUGUUAUAUUGGUGGCAAUUCUAAUUUGUAGUUCUAGUAGAGAGCCUCUAUCACUUAAGUCCGAGCAUGAACAGAUGAAGAUGAUUCAAGGGAAUCUGUUUGGCCUCAUCAUGUUAUUAUAUACUUGCUUAAUUUUUCUCAUAAUCCACCUUAUAUUGGAAGCAUUACUGAGAGUAAUUGUCCAGAGACUAAUUUUUUUGGUAGGUGGCUUUGUUUCUCAUUUACUUGUUUCGUUCUCAGUUCCCUUCACAAUGAGCUAUCUUUCUACUUGUUCUGCUGAAUACUCCCACUAGUCUUCAAGGUACUGGCUAGCAAUUAAUAUAUAUUUCUAGUUUCCUCUACUACCAAUAAUGGUGUCUGCGGGGUUAUCUCUCCUUGUCUCUUGUCUUAAUAAUUUAAUCUUCAUAUUGUAUGUUUGCAAAAAAAAAUAAAUAAAUAAAUAAAAAUUAAAAAAAUUAAAAAUUAAAUAAAUAAAACAGAGGAAACAGAUUGUCCAAUUUUGUUUUGGGGGUUUUUCCUCAAAGUACUAAUUUCCCCAUGCUUUGUUUUCAUGGCUCUCAAAUCUCAUUCUUUACACCAAUUCAGUGUGUCAGUUCGAUCUGAUCUCUAAGUUUCUUUAACUCGGGCUGAUUAUAUAUGUUUGAGUCAAUGUUUAAUUUUCUGUUGUGCAACAGUAAGUUGGCACCCUGUUAUUUUCUUUUAAUUAGCUUGCAUUAUUAGGAAUCUGACUUGUCUUUGUCUGACUCUUAUUAAAAGAUACACAAUUGUGGCAUUAUUUGGAUUUUUGGUCAGACUAUGUAUGCAGCUAAAAAUCUCAAUCACGUACUCACCAUUAUAACUACAAUAGCAGCAUGCAUGAGCAACUUGACUACAAACCAUACAGGGUUUAUUACAUGCAUGGAUAGUAAAUAAAUGGAUAUGUCGCUCGGUUUCUACUUUAGUACGUCGAGUGCUGUAUUCCAUUUUCCAAGUUACUUGAUCCCUUUCCUUUGCACUUUUCUUGAUUUAUUCACUCGAACAAUAAUUGCCUGCAAGGCUGAAAUUAAUUCCAAGGGUAUCUGUUCUAGGGACAUCAGCAGUCUUCCCAAAUUUUUAUCAACAAUGCGGUCGAGGACUGAUCCCUUUAUUAAUAGCCCCUUUAUAAUAUCCAAUUUCGUGAAUUCAUAUUCUGUUGUAUAGUGUUUGUAUAAUCAUAUUUUAUUCUCAUGAAUUCAUAUGGACAGGCUCCAAAGAUUUGGGGGUGAUCAAUGUUUACUAUAGAGUAGUAGCUGCCCCAGAACGUUUCCAAAAUUGCUAUGGAGGAAAGUGAUAUAGAAUUUUAACUCAAUUUCAUAGCCGGAGAGACAAAAGAACGAAGAAAACAAGGGAUAUAUUUCGAAAACGCAGAUUCUUUGAUCAAUACAAUAACGCUUUGCCAUUUUAUUUCACUCCAUCCAUCAGGCUCAGGUUUGCUGUCUCGCACUCCUCUUAUUACAGUCAAUUAUGAUCCAAGUUACUUGCUUUUUCUGUUUCAAUUUUUUUUCUCCUAAUUCAAUAAUUCAAGUUAUUGAUGAGAAAAAUAAUAUUGCUACAAGACAGAAUUUUCCAGCAAACACUAGUCCUAUAGUCCAAUAUAAAUGUUAAAAAAGAUAUACGCUAUCUACUGACUACCAUAACCCAAACCCAAAAGCUUUCACAUCUCAUGUAUAUAUAGGACUAUUGUCCUACUUGCUUCACUAUGGCUAGAACAGAACACAAUAGUGUAAAUGUCAAAAUCAUGCAUGUAAUUAUACAAAGAAAUCUUUGAUUUAUUUAUCUCUACAGUUCCAAAAGCAACCCAAACAAAUAAAAGAAUGAGCAAAUCAGUACAGAACUGGAAAUGAAAUAAAUUACAACCUUAGACACAGGCAAUGACACGAUUCACCCCAAAUUUCACCCUGAAACCCAGAGUAAGUCAUGCGGGGACCACUUCCAAGGAAAAUUUACCGAAAAAUCGGCAUAACCUCCCUUGAAAAUGGACAACCCUUCCUAAUAAUACCUGCAAACACUUCUGAAAAUUUAAAUCCAACCUUAAACUCCUAGAGCCUCCAUGCUCCCUAAAUCACAACACCACCCAAAUUAUUUACUAAUCUAAACAAAUCUCAUAUCCAACCAUUUAUAGGUUCAGAGCAACUCUAACAGGAAGAAAGGAAACAUAAAAAAUUAACAAGCGGAAGCUAUAUGAUGACUAUGCCUCAUCCCCAUGUACGCCCGACCUCAACUAUGCAAUCCUGCAAACUGGGCAUUUUUAAAACGAAGAGCCCAGGGGAAAACAUUUGAAACACGUUAGAGUGAGUGAACAAAAAUAAAUUAACGAAUAAAAUAUUUAUGUUUCCCCAAAUCAAUUUCCAAGGAAAAUCGAAUGUAUGCUGCAAGCGAUAAAACUUUUAUCUCAUAAAUGUCGAGCCUCUCAGGCUCUAUAAUAUAUGUAUGUAUUUACACACGUCCAUACUCCCUAUAUAAAUUCAUGGGUCUAUAUAGGGCUACUACGCUCACGUCCAACGCUCACGUCACGCCUUAAUGCGAUGCUACACUACGCCAUUAAGGUGGACAGACGGGUGUAUAAAUAUGUGCCCAUACCCCCUAUAUGAAUUAAACACUCAUAUAGGGCUACUACGCUCGCGUCGAAUGCUCACGUUACUCCAUAAUGCGGCUAUAUGCUACGUCAUUAAGGUGGACAGACACAUAGGGCUAGCUAGCAUUUUUAUACAUACUCUCCUCAUAAAUACAUAUUUAUAUUCACCGAAAAUCCCAUUUUCGGUAACUCUCCAAGAGAAAUAAAACCGUCAAAAUAAAAUGACGUCAAAAUGCUCCACAACAUUAAUUGUUCAUCUAUGAACUAUAGCAUGCAUUUUAUUUAAAACAAAAGUUCACUCACAACUUUAGACAUAAGCCCGACGAAAUCCAAAUCGCCACUCCAGAGAGGUUUUCUCGAACCCUAGCACAAAUAUAAAAUUAAUUUCCCAACUAAAACUCCAAUAUUUAAACAAAAUAGGCAAAAUUAACCGAGAGCCAUAACUACGCUCAUCAUUGCCUAACUUCGAUAUUCUUAAAUCGAAACGAUCCGAACUUAAAUAUCAUACUCGGCAGCCGUAAUUACAACCUCCCCAAAAAUACGACUUAAAUCAUACGGCCGGAUUCUACAUUAAUUAACCGCCAAAAAUACCACACUUUGGAAAUUCAUAAAGCUAUCCAAAACUCAUCCAAAAAUUCCAUAACUCACUUCAGCAAACUCCCAUUAAUAUUCUAAAUUUAAAACCCUAAAAAUCUUCCAAACAGUGGCGGCGCCGGCGGCCAGAGGCAGAUUCCGGCGACCUCCAAUUCCUAUGAAAUUUUGACAGAAUCUUCCUCUCAACUCACUCUACAACUUCUUUAACUAGCACAACACCCAAAUCCAAACCUAACUAAGUCAAACGAACGAAAACAUUCAAAACUCCCUAGAACUUCAAUUAAACAUAUCUCCUUAUCAAGACCGAAUUACAUCUAUUCCUUUUGAGGAAUCACUAACCUUCAUGAGAGCUACAAAAUGAGCUAAGAAUCACAAGCUAUGGUGGCUGGAAAUCGGAGCUCCGGCGGAAGGGCAGCCGGACUUCCAAUGGAGAUUACCUCCUCACGGUGGCGGUGGCAGCUCGAUGACCUGCCCAGAAAUGAAGAGGAGAAGGUGGUGGUUCGAUGGGGACCGGUGUGACGGACGGAGUCGGUCGGACGACGGCGGCCGGAGCUGAAGAAGAACCAGAAACGGGAGGUGAAGAGAGGGUCGGGAGGAGGAGAAGAAGAAGAGAGAAGAGAAAAGAGACAAAAAGGAAAAAUGGUUUAGGCCUCCCAAACCGGUCCAACCCACAAUUAUACCCAACUUCAAAAAAAUAAAACCCCGAAAAAUAAUACCCGAAUAAAAAUUACUUUUUACUAGCUAAAAUUUACCAUUUUUACCGUCGUCAUAUUUUUCUCACGAAUAAUCCUCCAAGCAUAACCGUCCCCGAAACCUCUCUAGGGACCAAUUAAACUAUUACCUCAAUGACAGAGACGGUAAAAUUCUUAUUAUAACCAAGCUAGUAAAUAAGGUAAAAAUUUAAGGGUCGGGAUGUGACAGGCAACCUUUGAUAAAAAUUGCAAGGCUUAAGAUUAAUAUUCUCAGGUAGCCAAAGCCAAACCAUCAAGAGUGAACAAUUCACCCGGUGUAAUCAUACGUAAUGGCUUUGACAAAUGCAGUCUCUGAAGACUUUCAAAUUGUUGAGAAACUUGUUUCAUUGUAGGACAAAAUCGAGGACCAGAAUUCAGGCAUGCAAAUGCUAUCUUCAUAACCAAGAGCACUUCCUCUGCUACUUGGUGUGUCGGAAGAGAAAUGUGCUGGUCCAAAAUAUCCAGAACUGACAUUGGAUGGACUGGUAAGGCAGUUGAUGAUGAUGCUGACGACGACCCCGAUGAUAGAGAUGAGAGAAGAUCUCCAGGAUGUCUUCCCAUAGUUAUCUCCAAUGCCAUCACCCCAAAGCUAAAAACAUCACACUUCUCAUUUACUUCCAUUGUAUAUGCAAGCUCUGUUCACAAAAUAUAUAUUAAAUAUAGGAAUAAAGAUCAUUUAUUUGAGUAAGGAAGAUUCUAAAAUGAAUCAUUUGCCACAAAACAAUAGCAUAAAAUUUGAAAGAUACUAUGGGGAGUAGACAAAAACAUUCACCUGGCGCAGUCCAGAUAGCGGAGUCUGGGUUCAAGAAUUUUACAGUGCCAAAGUCUAAAACACAGGCCGCAUAUUCAGAAUCCAGCAAAAUGUUCUUGCUAGAUAUGUCUCGGUGCACAAUUGGUGGUAAGCAAUCAUGGUGCAUGUAACAUAGAGCAUGAGGUACACCUUUAAAAAUUGUCCCUCAUCAUUGCUCAACAAUGUUGCCAAACUACCCUUUUCAAGAUACUCAUACACCAAAAAUGAGUGUCGCCUAUGUGAACAGAAUCCAAAAAUCUUCACAAUAUUUCGGUGUCGCAUCUUAGAUAGUGCCCUGAUUUCAUUCAAGAAUUCCUUUUGAAAAUUCUUAUCGUCAGGGCAUAACACACUAGUGGAAAUAUCAACUUAGCUGACGGAAACAAUUCGUCGCCUAAGACCCCAUAUCCGUCGAUUACAAUCUUGGCCGAUGAAUUCUCCGUCGUCUAAGUUUCGUCGCCUAGGUGUCGUGAGGUAGACACUUAAGCGACGGAAAUUAAGUUAGUCGUUGACUAAGACUGAUCCAACCUGACGGACCCUUACCUGCCUUGUCGACAAACGGAAUCGUCGAUAAAACUCUCUACCGACAGAAACUUUUUGUCAGAAAUGUUCUUAGCCGACGAAUAUGAAAUUCCUCUUAACCGACGGAACUGCCGUGGGUAUGUAUGUUUACCGACAAUUAUAUGAUCGUUCUUAAGCGACGGAAUAUUCGUCGGUAUUGGUUUUGCCCGACGAAUGUGUAACUGUUCUUAGUCGAUAAUUGAUCUUUGUAUUCAUUGGACAGGUUGUUUUUCUUAAACGACGAAUGUCACUAUUUCCGUCGCUUAGGUAUUGUAUCUUAGGAGAUGAAUGUUACUGUUCCGUGGCUUCGGUUGUUUAUCUUGGGCGACGAAGAUUAUUGUUUCCGUCGUCCAAGACAAAUAUCUUGGGCGACAAAGGCUUCUGGUUCCGUCGCCUAAGAUAUUUUAAUUAGGGUGAAAAAACACUGAAUUUUGUUUUUUUUUUUUUGGGUUUCACUGUUUCCAAAAAUUACAAAUCAGUAACAAUAAUGAAACACAUACAGAUACAUAUAUACCGGAAGCACUGGAUUUGGACCAUUUUUCAUAUAUUGAUCACAGAUGGACAAAUAUUAUUCAUAUAUACAAAAUAAUUAAUGAAUUAACUAGGUAGAAAAUUGUUCAUACAAUGUAGCUAAACUAUGAAUCUUCUACAAAAUCAAUAAUUCCAAGGACGUCCGUUGUCCAAUUCUAUAUUAUCACCUAGAUCAUCAUUGUUUUGUGGGGAAACAUGUGGAGGAGGAGAAGCAUCUGGAGGUGGAGGAGGAAACUGUGGAGGAGGAGUAGGUGGCAUACCUAGGUGCUCAUAUAAGGCUGCAACUUGGGACUGCACAGCAUUAUACAAAGACUCAGCACGCAGGGCACGCUACUAGACCUCUUGGAAUUGCUGUUGGGAACACUGCUGGACCUUUGUUAACUGCUGCUGGGCACGAUCCUCUGAUUCCUUUAGUCUCUGCUCAUAGCAUUGCUGCACCUCUUGGAGUUGCUACUCAUCAACUUUAGGAGGACGACUACGUGAAGUGGAACCAUUUGAUGAAUGGCUCAAGUCUCGCUCGCCUCCUCGUCCCAUCCCUCUAAUCUCCUUUCCUUUGCAAGUUUUGAGCACCAUAACUAACACCUCAAUUUGUUGGGACUAAACACUUUCCAUAAUAUGCUCCUCCGUCGCGUCAGGGUGUUGUUCCUUAAAUACAUCCUUUUGUUUAUUGACCUUAUUAACCAUGUCAUUCUGCAUGCAUUUAAAAUACAUCAAUAAAGUUUUCAUAAUAAAGUUUACUGGUUGCAUGAUAAACAGAGAAGCUAUUGGGGGUCAGUAGAAGUUUACUGCCCCUCAGUAAACUUCUACUGUGGGUCAGUAAACAUGCAAUUUAUUAUCUCCCUUUCAGUUUCAUGGCCACAACACACAACAGAUACCCUAAUAAACAACUUUAUUGCUCCCUAGAAAACUCAGUAGAAGUUACUGCCCCCCAGUAAACUUCUACUGGGGGUCAGUAAACUUGCAAUUCAUUAUUCCCUUUCAGUUUCAUGGCCACAACACACAACAUAUACCCUAAUAAACAUCUUUAUUAAUUGCUCCGUAGUAAACAACUUUAUUGCUCCCUAAAGCUAUACAUAGUAAUCAAUGACAGUGAUAAUAACACUUCUUUUUUAUUUUGGAAGAAGCAGGAAAACAUGACAUUGUAAUUGGACAGUGCCUAGAUUCAACUUAAUGGUCUUAUAUAUAUACCAAUAGCCGGAUUUACACAUGCCACUACCAGGACAAGCACGUUAGCCGACGAAAAAGUUUCGUCGACCUGUUAGCUUAAUUCGUCAGCUAAGAUCUUAGCCGACGAUCCAUCGUCGGCUAAGAUUUCGUCAGGAAAAGGUCGUCGGCGAUGACUUUAGCCGAUGAAAAAAAAAGACGUCGUUGGCUAUAGUCCCACAGUUUAGCUGACGAAAAAUAUGUCGUCGGUUUUUUUCCCAGACUUUAGCCGACGAAACAAUAAAAAAUUCGUCGGCUAAAGUGUGUAAAUUAAAAAAAUAACUAUAGCUGACGAAAUAUAGUUUGUUUCGUUGGCUAAACCUUAUAAAAAAAAUUAAAAAUAAAUAUAGCGGACGAAACAUGCCAUUAUUCGUCGGCUAAACCUUAUAAAAAAAAUUAAAAAAUACUAUAGCCGACGAAUAUAGUAUUUAAAUAUCGUCGGCUAAAGUUGCUGGUUUUUAAAAAAAAAAAACUGCAAAAACUUUCCGCCACCUCCGAUCACCACCAAAAUUUGAUAGCAUCUUCCUCUCAACAUUUCGAACAACUUUCUAGAAGAAGUCGAAGCCCAAUUCUAAGCCUAAAUAGGUCAACUGAAUCAAAAUAUAAAAAUCCCCAAUUUUAAACCCUAAAAACUUCAAAUCUUCGAUUCUCCUCACACACACACCGAAUCGAGCUACCAAAUUUUAGGGAAAUGUAGUACUAAUCAAACUCAACUUAUCCAUAUAUAGAACUCACCAAAUGGUGACCUGAGGAAGGAGAAAUUCGAUCGACACCGAAUCCGAACCGGCGGAGUUUUGGAGCUCGAUUUAUCCCUCACGGCGGUGCCACACGAUGCACCACCUGUCCAGCAAUGAAGUAGAGACGACGGCGAAGCUUUUGGGACAAGUGUGGCGGUCUCCGGUUGCUUGACGACGGAGCUAGGCCGGGAAGAAAAUCCGAAACUUUUUCUGAUUUUCUAACUUCUUACCAUCCACCUCCGGUAAAACUCCUAUAUAAAGAACUUUACCCGACGAAAUUCUUUAUUUUCGUCGACUAAACUCUUUUGAAAAUUUUGCUUGACCGCCAAAAAAUUUUGGUUGACAAAAGCCGAGUCUGGUGAGAAUGAGGGCAAGCACGUUCUACGACCUUGAUCAGACUGAGAAGUGGAAGGUGUGGAAUGCAAUGUCGGUAAGUAACUGAAAAGUAUAUGAAAAGUAAAUUUACUUAAUUACAUUUGUUUGAUAACAUAUAUAUGAUUGCUUAUGUAAUUGGAAGGCAUGAACUGACUCAAUUGACAUCUCUCUGUUGAUAAAAUUUCAUGUCUAAGGAUAUGUUUGCAUAAGGAGUUUUCUUAUAAAGUGAAAAUGUUAUGGAUAUGUGUAAAGUAUUGUGUGUUGAUAUGAAUUGAAAGAUGUGUUUUGUGAUAAUAAUUGGGUGUGUUAAUUUUUUAUUUUUUAUUUUUAGUGCUUAACAUGGGAAUUUUUUAUUUAUUUCUUACUUAGCCGAAGUACGAGUGGGAUGAAAAUGAUGAGGCAAUGUUCAAUUGGAUACUGAUGAGAGCACAUGAGAGGUACAAGGACUGGAAGUACCAGUGCCACAAAACUUAUCUGAAGGAAAGGUCCUCUGGCAUGCCUUCAGAUUUCAUUGGGAGAGAGGACCAGUGGGACUUUCUAUGCCAGCACUUCGAGUCAGAUGCGUUCAAGGUGAUUUUUUAAAUUACCUUCAUUUGUUUUUUAUUUUUAUUUUUAAAUUACAUUCAUUAUUUCCCUUGUAUUUUCCUAAUCUAUUUAACAUUUUUUCGUGUAUAUAUUAGAGACUUUCCUUGGCAAACAAGCAGAACCGUGGGGAGAAGACUAUGCACCACCACACGGGGUCUUCUCCUAUCAUCUACACAAUGGAGGAACUCAGAAUACAAGGGGAGCAGCUUCCAAUUAUCAAAGGUUUUGAGAAGACCUAUGUUAGGGCCGGUGAUGAAGAUACGACCAAGAAAUAUGUAAGUGUCCUUCUUUUUACUUUAUGUAAACUUAGCAAAUGCUUCAAGCACACUACCAGAAGAAAGGCUUUAGCCGACGAAAAUAAAAAAACCAAGCCGACGAAUUAUUUUUUUGUCGGCUAAAGUUUCGUCGGCUAUACUAUACUUUAGCCGAUGAAAUUUUUUUUUUCGUCGGCCAAAGUUUUCCUUCGUCCGCCAAAGUUUUUACUCGUUGGCUAAAGUAUUUUAGUAGACGAAAAAAAAUCUCGUCGGCUAAAAGAAAAACAAUAAAAUGUUGUAUAACUUACUUAGUAGGUUUUAAACAAAUACACAACUUUGUGAACCAACUCUACAUAGAAGCAAAAUUAACAAAAAUCUCGUGAAAUAAGAUGUGUUCAGAACAGUGAAAUACGGCUAUGGUUCAAAAAUCACGUAAAUCGGGUAACGUCUCUGAUGUAGAACAGUCGAAACCUAGUAUGCUGUAGUAUGGCGCAACCGAUAUCAUGUGCCACCAAGCUGUUUAUCCCCCUCACGCUAGGGCCUUUUACACGGGGGCAAUACACGAGCUUGAUCUUCUGCCCCGUUUGUUGAACGAUAUCCUCCGCCUUCUUUCUAGAACAAAAACCCCGCUUCUUUUUCGGGGUCGGAGCUACAAUUAACAUGUGAAAAUAUAUUAUGAUACUUAAUAUACAAGAGGAUAUCUGUUGUGUGUAAGUGGCAUAAAAAUGAAAGAGACAUAUUGUACUGCAAGUUUACUGACCCCCAUUAUAAGUUUACAGACCCUCAGAAGAAGUUUACUGACCCCAGUAGAAGUUUACUGACCCCCAGUAGAAAUUUAUACUGACCCCCAGUAGAAGUUUACUAGGGGGCAGUAAAUUAAUACACUUAACUGUUUGGCUUCUAACUUUGAUUCGAGCGCUGCCGACAAUGCGUCUUGCAGAUUCAGGUGCGGUUGCAGUCUCGGGUGCGGUUACAGACGCCUAUUGAGAUCCCGUUGAACAACUGUCAAUUGUAGGGCGCCGCACGAUCAAGGGGGGAGCCCCUGGUGGUACUGUCUCAGCCGGCAUGGGGUUAGGAUGGCUGCUACUGCUAGCUGAACCGACGCUCUGCCGUAUUGACUCCAUCAAAGCAUUGGCCUUAGUGGCUCAGCCCUUCCUCUUCCCCAUGAUCACCAUAUCUUGCACAUGAAUAACACACAAUUGUUAGUAAAUGAGUGAGUAAUAGAUAAAGAUUAUAGAAAGACAAUAACAAUUUGAUCAAACCACUUGUACUUCUUCUACUUUUUUAUUUUUUUUUAGACUUCAUGCAUUGGUGAUACAGAAAACACUAACAAAAGCUAUGAGCCACUUAAGCAGAAGAUACAAUGUGAUAUUUUUUUUUUUUUUGGGAUAAUUAAAAAAUAAUAAUAAUAAUAAUGAAACACGAUCAACGAAUUCGUUUACGAUUCAGAAGUAACAAGCAAGAUCAAUCUGAGAAGAGAGAGAAUACAGACCUACAAAAGGAGCGGCGGUGAGAAUGUGAGAGUGGAGAGAUCGUAGCGGCGGUGAGAAGGUGAGAGCAGAGAGAUCGGAUGUCACAUCCCGACCCUAAAAUAUUUACCUUAUUUACUAGCUUGAUUAUAAUAAGAAUUUUACCGUCUCCGUCAUUGAAGUUAUAGUUUAAUUGGUCCCUAGAAGGGUUUUGGGGACGGUUAUUUCCGGAGGAUUAUUCGUAUGAGAAAAAUGUGACGACGGUAAAAAUGAUAAAUUUUAGCUAGUAAAAAGUAAUUUUUAUUAGGGUAUUUAUUUUUGGGGUGUUUUAAUGGUGGAGUUGGGUUUAAUUGUGGUGUUGGGCCGGGUUGGUGUGAGGCCCAAACCCCAUUUUCUCCUCUCUUUUUCUUCUCUUCUUCUCCUCUUUUUCUCCUUCUCUCUUUUCUUUCCCGGGUUCUUCUUCUCCCGAGCUCUCUCUCACUUCACCGGAAGACCAGCGCCCGCCGCCGCCGUCCGGCCAAGCAGGGACGCCGCACCACUCCAGCACGGUCCGUCGUCCUCCCCGCCGCCUUCCUGGGCUGGUGAGAGGCGCUGCAACCCUGCCGAACGGAGGAAGUCCUCCUUGGAAGCCGAUUGUCCUCUCGCCGGAGCUCCCUCCUCCGGCCGCCAUAGCCAGCGAGUCUUGGCUCGUUGUGAAGCUCUCCUCCCGUGCAGCAAUCCCUCCAAAGAGCUUGCCCUCUCGUGGUCUAGGUAAGGAGAACCGGUGAGUGGAAGCUCUAGGGUUUUCUAGUGUGUUUUCAUUCGAUUGGCCUAGUUAGGCUUCAAAUUGGGUGUUGUGCUAGUUAGGAAAGUUGUAGAGCAUGAUGAGGAGAUUAUUCUGUCAAAAUUUCAUAGGCAUUGGAGGUCGCCGGAAUUGGCCUCCGGCCGCCGCUGCCCGCGGAGCCGCCGCCGUCGCCGCCGCUGUUUGGGAGUUUUGUAUAGUUUUAAGUGUGGAAUAUGAAAGGGAGUUUAUUGAUGUGAGUUAUGGAAUUUUUGGAUGAGUUUUGGAUAGGUUUGGGAAUUUCCGAAGUUUAGUUUUUUUGGCGGUUAAAUACUGUAGAUUCCGGUCGUAGGAUCUAAGUCGUUGUUCUGGGGAGGUUGUAAUUACGGCUGCCGAGUAUGGUAUUAAAGUUUGGGUCGUUUCGAUUUAAGAAUAUCGAAGUUAGGCAAUGAUUAGCGUGUUUAUGACUCUCGGUUAAUUUUGCCUAUUGUGUAAAUAUUAGAUUUUUAGUUGGGAAAUUAAUUAUAUGUUUGGAUCAGGACGUGAGGAGGCUAGAGUGGAAGAGGCCUCGGUUCGAUGUCGGGCUUAGGCCUAAAGUUGUGAGUGGACUUUUGUUUUAAAAUAUAUGCAUGCGGUGAUUCUAUAUUAAAUGAUUGAUUUUAUUGAAUAUCAAUGUGGAAUUGUUUAUUUUCGCGAAGUCAUUUGCAGAAGUCAAUGUUCUCAUUUUUAAUGGCUAUCGUGUUAUUUGGAAAGAUACCGAAAAUGAGAUUUUUGGUGGAGUCGUGUGCAUAUUGCUAUUUAUGAUAAUUGGCAAUUUUCAUUAUUGUUGGAGAAUAACCGAAANNNNNNNNNNNNNNNNNNNNNNNNNNNNNNNNNNNNNNNNNNNNNNNNNNNNNNNNNNNNNNNNNNNNNNNNNNNNNNNNNNNNNNNNNNNNNNNNNNNNAUUAGAUUAGAUGGAUCUACCCUGUAGUUGGAUCCCCGGUUUAGAACGAUCCCUGCUUGCUUUAUACUACGACUGAUUUGUUGACAGGGUUAAUUGAUGCGUGUGCAAAUACGUAUUAUCAACCGGUCCUAGGCGUAAGUUGUUCAUGACCCCGGACCCGGAGUCCAAACGCGAACCUCCGGAGUCCAAACGCGAACCAUCUCAGCCCUCAUGGCAACAAGAACGUCAAAAUCCGGAGGCCAAUGUCAGAAGGGGGCCACCACCACCACACCAGCCUCGGGCACGGUCCACCCCGGAGCCCGAGACCCAAAUGGUUCCCCGAGUAUCCGCCCUACAACGGUUGAAAAAGGAAGACAACAAUAAGGCUCCUUUGGCAACAAGCAAACAACCAGCCAGGGACCAUCAGCCUUCAACCAAGUCAGUAUGGCGCUUACGACAACCCGAGGCUCAAGAGCCACCAAUAGCCGCACAGGCGUCCUCCAGUCCUAACCUCGCCCAACAAAUGGCCCAGCGUUUCCGCGAGAAUUCAGAAGACGACGAGGCACAUUCAGAACCUCGACUUAACCUAGAGGAAGACCAGGACGAAGAGCAGGAAGAAUCAUUCACCUGUAAUAUGGUGGAGGUCUCAGGAUGGGAUGCUGACGAAGGGUUUAGCAGCGAAGCAGACUAUUUCGCGGUGCUCGAAGGAGAACACGGGGUCAUUGACACUCCUCUGGUCCCAGUUCGUGAACAAUUCUCCUUUCAAGUCGGGAUGGUAUUCUUCAUCUCGGAAAGAUACGCUCUCCCACCGAACACAACCUGCAGUGCGGCGAAUAUUCCCGUCAACAGCGAGGACGUCAGUAGCAUACCCCCGCCAUGCAGCAGCGAAAUGGGCCCAGUUCUAGCACCGGCCGAUGACGCCCCACAAGUGGAAAUUACGAGCAGUAUUAAACAUAAGCAAACUCUAACCUUCUCCACUCCGACCUUGGACAUGGCCACUCACAUGCGGCCACUGUAUAUCACGGUUGAAGUCGAAGGAAAGAUGAUCAACAAGGUCAUGGUCGACACCGGUGCCGCGGUCAAUGUUGUCACAACCCGUACCAUGGAACUCCUAGACAUCCCGCGCUCGAUGAUCCAAACCACGUCCUUAACAGUCAAAAACUUCACCGGGCAGGUGUCCAGAACCCUAGGUUUGCUAUUUCUACGGGUCAAGGUCGGCCCGGUGUCACGGGUUUACACCUUUUUCGUCGCCGAAUGCACUUCCUCCUACAGCAUGAUUCUUGGCCGAGAUUGGAUCCACAGAAGUUUCUGCGUGCCUUCCUCCAUGCACCAAGAACUCAUGAUUUGGGACACGGAGAACUGUGAGGCAGUCAUCAUCAAGGCUGACCCGCGGCCAUUCUCUAUCUCCGCCAACUUCAACGAUGCCCGAUACUAUACCACAGACUUGGGCCCGUUGGAUGUUCAAGGCGUCGAUAACAAGGGCCUCCCAUAUGGAAUAACGGCCUCUAAUCUAACACGAUGGGGACUUACCCAGGCGAAGGACGAUUUGCAACGUCCUCACACCAUCGCGAAUCUCACAACCCAUUCUGAUGAAUAGUGCCUUCUCAGAAGAGGCACGCGAGGCUAGCGAGUCCUUGUGCGAAAGACUCCUUUCGUACUGGGCAGAACGCGAAGCCUACGACAAGGUCGCGACUAUGGAAUAUGUAGAUGAAGUGGUGGAUUAUUCCGAUACCAAGAAGGAAGUUAUUCAGUUAGCUCCCGCCGCAUUGGACGACACACCACCUCAAGUCCGUGACCCCAUUUCACAAGUCGACGUAGGGACUGCAGAAAAGCCCGUACUUAUUUCUAUCAGCGCUAAGUUAGCGAAGGACGAAAAAGAAAACCUUCUUGCCCUGUUACGAGAGUAUAGGGAUUGCUUCGCCGACAAAUACGAAGAUAUGCCCGGCUUGUCCCCGGACUUGGUCUGCCACCGGUUACCAACUUAUCCGGACCGACGUCCAGUACGGCAGGAUGGCCGGUUCAUGCGAACUGAGACUCAGAUCGUAGUCAAGGAGGAGAUCGAAAGCAUGCACCGAUCGGGAAUCAUUCGUGUGGCAAAGUAUAACGAGUGGCUGUCCAAUGUUGUCCCCGUUCGCAAGAAAAAUGGCAAGAUGCGCGUCUGUGUUGAUUACCGCUACCUAAACAACGCAACACCAAAGGAUAUAUACCCCAUGCAUGUGGCUGACCUACUCGUCGAUGCCGCGGCAGGGCACGAGGUGUUAUCCUUUAUGGAUGGAACGGCCGGAUACCAUCAGAUUCCCGUCGCUGAGGAAGAUCGACACAAGACCGCUUUCCGCUGCCCUGGUUUUGCCGACGCGUUCGAGUAUGUUUUCAUGCCUUUCGGACUUAAAAACGCGGGGGCAACGUAUCAGCGCGCCAUGAACCUCAUCUUUCAUGACAUCUUGGGGAAGUUGAUCGAAGUAUACAUCGAUGAUGUGGUAGUCAAAACCAAAACACGGGCAACCCACGUUGAAGACCUGCGGCAGGUGUUUACCCGGAUGCGCCGACAUAACCUGAAGAUGAACCCCGCCAAGUGUGUUUUCUUCGCGGAGGCCGACGAUUUCCUUGGUUUCCUAGUGCAUCAAAGAGGCAUCGAAAUCCCAAAGGACAAGGCACAGGCGGUAAUCACCGCUUCGCCCCCCACCACCAAAAAGGAGCUCUAACAACUACUCGGGCGAAUCAACUUUCUCCUUCGUUUCAUAUCAAACGCGGCAGGGAAGGUCCAGCCUUUUUCCCCUCCUCAAGCUCCAGGGGGCAACCGAGUUCGUCUGGGAACCACAACAUCAACAGGCCUUCGAUCGGAUCAAGGACUACCUUACGAACCCGCCGGUCCUGAUCCCACCUCGCGACGGUACCCCGCUUAAACUUUAUAUCGCCGCUGCCGACUUGUCCAUCGGCGGGCUCCUGGCCCAAGACGAUGUGAACGGGGUAGAGCACGCUGUCUAUUACCUUAGCAGGGUGUUAACUGAGUGUGAGACACGAUACUCACCUAUGGAGAAGUUGUGUCUGGCCCUAUAUUUCGCAGGGUGCAAGCUGCGCCAUUACAUGCUCGCCUUCACCACGGUUGUGAUCGCUCAAUUUGACCUGGUUAAAUACAUGCUCUCUCGCCCUAUCUUGCUGGGACGCAUCGGCAAGUGGAUCUUAGCCAUGUCUGAAUUCUCGUUGCAAUAUGUUCCGCAAAAGGGAGUAAAAGGACAGGCAAUAGCAGAUUUUCUCGCUCAUCACCCACCCUUAGAGCUCACGGCAUUUCGCGAGUUGGAAUUCGCUUUCGUGGCGCUCGCUCCAUGGACCCUGUAUUUUGAUGGUUCGCGGACUGACACCGCAGCCGAAGCCGGGAUAGCCAUAGCCAAUCCCGCCGGAGAUCGCUUCUCCUACUCGUUCUAGCUCGAUUUCAAAUGCACCAACAACCAGGCUGAGUACGAGGCGCUGAUCAUCGGCCUCGAGAUUUUGUUGGACUUAGGAGUCCGCGAGGUUCAGAUCUUUGGCGAUUCUUUGUUGGUCGUUAACCAGCUGGUGGAAAAGUUUAAGUGCUUGAGCUCGUCCAUUGAGCCAUACCUGGGCAAGGCCUUUGAGGUGUUGGAUCGAUUCGACGACGUCUACAUCGAGCACAUACCACGCGAGUUCAACUUCGCCGCCAACGAGCUCGCCCAAGUAGCAUCCGGUCUCAGCCUGCGCGACGGCGUGCGCGAACGUUUGCUCAAAGUCGAACGCCGUACUCUUCCCUCUUUCAUCUUUCAUCGCUAGGGGGCAAUUUCAGGCCGACACCCCCGAAGUUGCGGCCUUGGAUCCUAUCAAUGAGGAUUGGCGGCUACCAUUUAUCGCCUACCUCCAGAACCCUAACGACGCCGCUCACUCCAGGCAAAUACGUUUCCUCGCCUUAAACUUUGUUUUACGCAAUGGCGAACACCGGCGGCGUGGGGAAGACGGAACUGAUUUCCGCUGCGUGUAUGGGAACGAAGCUAAGCGUAUCAUGCGCGACGUCCAUUGUGGGGUUUGCGGUUCGCACCAGGCCGGGCCAAAAAUGCGAUGGUUGAUCCGUCGCCAUGGGUACUACUGGCCAACCAUUCUGAAAGACUACAUUGCCUUCGCCAGAGGUUGCCAAGACUGCCAGGCCCACGGACCAGUGCAACACAUUCCCAACAUCCCGUUACAGCCUAUCAUUAAACCUUGGCCGGGUCGCGGUUGGGCGAUCGAUUUCGUUGACAUCAUUCAUCCCCAUUCUUCUGAGCAGCAUAAGUUCAUUAUCGUCGCCACCGAUUUCUUUACCAAAUGGGUCGAGGCCGAACCCCUUAAGGUCGCCUCCGCCAACUCGGUUCGCAACUUUAUUUUUCGCGAUAUCAUCUCCCGCUUUGGUAUCCCAGAGUGCAUCGUUACGGACAGGGGGGCAGCUUUCAUGGCGGAUUCGGUUGUUAAGUACUUAAACGACAACGGCAUCAAACUUCUCCACUCUACGCCGUAUUAUGCACAGUCCAACGGCCAGGCGGAGGCUAGCAAUAAGGUCAUCCUCGGCAUCCUCCGCAAGAUGUUGGGGUUGAACCCGCUUGUCUGGCAUGAGGAACUGUACCACACCUUGUGGGCUUACCGCACUUCAAAGCGCGGCCCGACGGAUACCACCCCGUACGCUCUCAUGUACGGUCAUGACGCCGUCCUUCCCCUUGAGAUCAAUAUCGCUUCACUUCGCGUUCAGGAACAGCAUCAACUACUUGGCGAGGAUUAUGUCCAAGCUAUGUGGCAGGAGCUUGAAGAUCUUGACGAGUACCGCGUCACCGCGUCACCGCGUCACCGCUUUCAACAACGCAUCGCACGUUCGUACGACCAGGUCACGCGCGGACGGAGCUAUGCUGAGGGCCAGACAGUGUGGCGCGCAGUAUUCCCACUUGGGGAAAAAACCGACGGUCGGGGGAAGUGGUCUGCUCGAUGGGAAGGCCCCUUUAUUAUUCAUCGUAUUCUCCCCAAGGGGGCAUACCACCUGCGCGACCUGGACGGUACCAUUCAUCGCAAUCCUAUUAAUGGCCGUUUCCUCAAGCGCCACAUUGCUGGAGUUUGGGAACGCGAAGAUCCUCCACCUCCCCCAGACCCCGUCACCACAAUCAAUAGUGCUAUGCGCCAUCGCGUUCUCCCUCCGCCGCCUACCACUAGGGGGCAAUCCGAGAGAGAAGAUUGAUAGAGUACGUUGUAACGUCCCAGCCUAAAAAGGCCAGUACGAGAUUGGGGCCUACUCCAGAGGCCCUACAACAGGAUAACUGUAUUUUUCUUCAUUCUUUGUAAACAUGCAAAGUCUAAACGCAAAGGCCAGUACAGGAUUGGGGCCUAUUCCAGAGGCCCUAAAAAACCAAUAAAUUCAUUUAUUUUGCCCUUUUGGCGUUGUUCAAUAUAAGUCUCGAACAUUGGCUUUGCAGCCAAAGCAAUUACAUAGACAAAAAGGGUGAAAUUAGACUAUGUUUACAUCCAAAAGGCAUAGAUCUGCAAAUAUUGGAAGCCUAAACCCGCGUAUCUCGCAGGUUUGAAGAAGAGGCUGCCGCCGCAUCAUUCGUUCAAAGUUGGCAGACGUCCCGCUUCUUUAGACCAGCACGAGCCUUGACAUUGGCCCGGACCUAAGACAAAGUGUUAGGAAGCUAAAGGUCCACUGGGCCUGGGUCCCUCAUGCUACCAGUCACGCCUCGAAGGUGCUUCAAGGGCACUGACCAGAACCUGAAGCGCAAGCGGGUGCGGAGCCUCGAGAACCUCACGUUUGGACAGAACAGCCGGCGCAAGGCAGAAGGUACCCAACCAUUAGUUCGUCCAAACAAAGGCUCGGCCUGAGAGUAGAUUUUCAGAGUCACUCCCGGCCUGAGAGUAGAUUUUCAGAAUCAGAAAGAACGAAGGGUGAAAAUGUGAGGUGGGGGCUUUGCUUUAAGCAGGGACAAGAGGAUGUGCAGAAGGGUAUACGAGUCCAUGGCAAGGGGGCAAAGACUUAACUGGUGCUUCGCCCCGGCCAAGCGUUCCUUUUUAUAGGCGGAAAGGGUGAUUUUCCUUUCGACAGAUGUCCUCCAUGCAGCGAUUUGCUCCGAGAUAUGAGCUCUGGAGAUAAGGUCGGAUGCGUUGUUCCAUAAUGACUACCCGCGUUCCAAGCGAGUGGUUGCAUUGGAAACCCCCACCAAAUCUCAGAGGAAGAUUUUUUCCUGGCAAGGCAGUUCUUUCACAAAGAUUCGACAAGAGCGGGAAAGAUUUGAUUUAAUAAUAAUAUUAUUAUAAAGGUUCAUACAAGGGGGGCAAAGCGCUGAUCGAGGCUAAACCCGCCUAGAAGCCCUAUACAAAUCUAUGAGAAGGCCUUCUAAGGCCAACUCUUCAACAUCCGUCUGGGCUUGGGCUUCGUCGGCAGCGGCAGCAGCUGAGUCCAAAGCUUCCUGGGUCUCCUCCGCGGCCUGCACACGGGCUUCUGCCUCUUCAGCUCGGGCCAAGUUCUGGCGAGCUUGAGCAAGCUGAGCUUGCAGCUCCGCUAUUUGAGCCUCCAGGGCCUCCACUUGCCGAGCAUAGUUAAUGCAUGGAUUCUCUGAAGACGCCUCAGGGAUUUCAGCGUCUUCAAGCUCGGCUAAGAGGGCUGCCAUCUGAUUGUCCAGGGCUUGGCGGACUUUCUCGUGAGCAGCCGACUAGGCACCAACGUCUUGAACUCGGCGAGCCUGCAGCUCGACGGCGUCGGUGAGUUCCAACACAUGAUCUAGAGCAGGGUUGCUGCCAGCGAGGUGCCGAAUCAGAGCUUCAUGGGCCUCACGAACGCGCCUCACCAAGUCGAAUACGUUCAUGUGGGGACCUUGGCGCAGUAGCCCGUGAAAGAAAGCCCGGGCCAGGCGAAUGGGUUCCGGGUCGGCAGGCAGGGUGAUCCAGGCCCGAAGACGGGCGGUCCGGGUAGCCAAAGAAGAAGUCGCUUCGCCAGAUGUUCUUGUUGGGGCCGGAGUGGUUGGUUCAACCUCUACAACCGCCUCAGUCUCUGGAGCGGGCGGUGGGACCUCAGACCGAGUGAGGACUGUCGUUUCUUCGGUGGUCUGGGCCGCUGAGUCUGGUUGCGGAGAAGAGGGCUCAAGCACCGGUUGGAAGUCCUUUGGCGGAACUGCCAAAGGGGUACCAAAGUCAGAAAGCAGGGUGAUCCGGCUGAGAUUUUCAUCUGGAGCAGGAGCCGAGGUAGGCUCUGGAAGUGGGCCAGUUUCGCCUAGAGCGUCGUUUGGAGAAGGGGGUUGCGCAGCAACGUCCUCGGUAACCAUGGUUUGAUCCCCGACAAUUGGUUCCGGGGAUGGGACUUCGACUAUCGCUGUCGCUCCUUCAACGACAGCGAGGCGAGGUCGGAUGCGGCGGCGAACCUGUCAAGGGCAAAGUUAGCAAAACGUUUGUUGGGCUUUAAGAAGUUUGGUUCGAAGAAGGGUCGCUUACCAAGGCGUGCUCUUGCCGGUAUCGUUCAUCCUCUAGCAACUCUUCCUCGUCCUCGUUAGGGCACUUCCGCGAACUUUCGCCGCUCGUUGGCUGGGGUACCGCGGGAGCAGUCUCUCACCGUUGUGGCUCACCGCGGACCUAUCUUGGGCAGGUGCUUUCCCCUUGUCUCCGGCAUCCUCGGGUCUUCUGAUAGAUCUCCGGCGGGGUGCAGACUGUAAAGGAAGACAGGAGAGUUAGGAGGAAGCAUUUUGUCGAAGUAGUAAAGGCGGUUCGGAAUUUACACAGUUAGUGAUUUACCUCGGGUGCGAGAUCGCGUUCUCGAAUGACGAUCCCGGUCGAGUGACGAGUAGCGGGGAUUGGCGGGAGUGCAAGCCUGGACCCUGUCGCAGUCUUUGAACUGCUCUCUUCACGGCCACGCUGGGCGUCAAGAACGACGCGGUCUGACUCGCCCAGAGUGUCGUAAAGAGAAUAAAAGAUAGCAGCGAAGACAGCGUCGUCUGGGAACCCCCAAUGGUUGUCGGACAAGGACCGCCACCAAGAGAGAUAGGCGGGGUCUGCACCCAGCGAAGGCUCAAUCUCGAGCAAGUCAGGAGUGAGAGGGAAAAUGUUUUGCAGCGGGGUGACCCGGUCGGACUCGCCGAUCUUCCUCCAGGAGAUGUACUUGUUCACUGAAUGGAACAGUGGAUAGGGGAUCCCUUGGAAGAAGCCGAGUUGUCUGGCGAAGUGAUUGGGGGCAUAUAGCUCGAAGCCUUGUUCAUCCUCGGCGAGCUGAAGGUCGCAGCAUGAGGAUGCUCUCAUGAAGAUGGUCUUAGCGUCUGAGUCCGAAUCAGAGCGCGGGAAGAAGCCCGUCGAUAAGACUUCAGGGUGGCGCCGGCGAACCAUCAUGUCCAUGGUGGGAGGCGGUUCGAGUUGGUUGUAGAGGAUGGAAAGGCUGGCGAAGAAGGACAGGGGAAUCCGGUUCGCAGCGUUCCUGCACACCGCGAAACCGAGCAGUUGGUCCUCGGGCAGGAAUUCUAGUGGGGCUUGCCGGAAGAGCGGGAAAUACAGCUGCGUCCAUAAGUCUAAGAUCCACAGCGGGCCAGCAGAGAGAUGGAAAGGUCUUAGGGACAGCAUGUGCAGGGUCCGGUAGAGGGCGCCCAGUACUGGCUGCCCUAGCCCGACCUCGAUCCCGUUGUAGAGAGCCUCGGCCAGUUUUGUCCAUUUCCCUAUAGGCUUGUGAGCACUCCCGCAGAAGAUGAAUUUAUCGAGCCAGUACUCAAGGAAAGCGAUACCUCCUUCGGGCUGUUCUGCAUGGCCUAUGUAGAACUUCCUCCACACUCCAUACGAGCCUUUCAUGGCGCGGCGGGCCCCCAGGUUGCAGGAGUGCGUAAACUCGGUCGAUGAAAAGUCGCCUGGCGCAUACGGCUUUGCAUGAAUCGGCAGCCCGGUGAUAGUGAGGAUGUCCAGCAGAGAAAUGCCCAUUUGCCCGAAAGGAAAAUCAAAAGUGUUGGUGGCACUGUUCCAUAGGCAGGCCGCGGCGGCAAUGGGUGCUCGAUCGGCAUGAGGAGGCAGUGAGAAGCUCAAGGCAAUGGCUUCGUUGACGCCGGUUGCUUCCUAGAUUGCUUGGUCGGUCUGGAGGCGAGCCGUGUACCAUGCCCGGUCCUCUGCGAUCACGCUGGGCCAUUCCCCGACCCGGAUAUUUGUAUGAGAGCGGGCUUGGUGAAACCAGGAGGCGAAGUUUCCCGGUUCGCGACGUUGGGCAAGGAUUGGUCGGCGCACGGAGGCAGUAUAAUGGUUCAGAUCAGCGGCGGAUAGAGGCUGCGAGGGGGUCGAACCGAGCAGGGCUGCCCCUGUUUCAAGGAAAUAGAUGGGUGUUCCUUGAGGAGGGUUGUUAGCAAAACGGCGAGCGAAGCCGGUCGACCAUGAGCUCACCGCCGUGAGGUUAAGGUUUGGGUCGUUAGCAGUUGGUUUGGGAGCCAUUGUUUCUAGUCGGAGUGAGUCCGGUGGUGAAUGUUUGAUGUUUGCAGAAGAGAGGGAAAGGAUUGAUUGGAAAGCGAUGGUGAGAUGUGGGGACCCGCAUCGAGGUUUAUAAAGAAGACGGACCGUAACGUCUUUUCAAUCAAUCGCCGUAAUGAGGAGACGCGAUGACGACCGAAACGUCAGCGCGUUUCAAAUUUCAAACAGUCGCAAAUGAUGAAGGGAGGCGAUGAUGCCGAAACGUCUGCACCUUUUGAAUUGCGAGUUCCAGUAAAAUGCUUAUUUAGGCCUUUUCGCUUAUCCGUUGCGAAAUGAAUUAAGCUCAAGGCCUAGGGGCAAUGUUUGAGCCCAGUGGGUAAUUUGGUCCAAGACGCGGGGUACGUUUUGGAUAACAUUUGGGCCAGUACCCGUGGCCUUUUUUAAUGUGAGGCCCACGAAGGGUGGCGAGGUCUGGUAACGCGCGAGCUGGCGUUUUGCAAGGAUUCUGUACCCCGCGGGAUUGAUGUCCUCGCUGGGUCCUUUGUUUCGGUUCGUGUAGGAUUUUGCAGUGCAUGGCGAGGUAGAGUUGGAAAUGGACUGUAGUACUCCGCGGGAUAGGAUCGCUUAGUGAUCGAGUUCGCGUACGACGCUACAGUGAGAUAAUGCGGGGCGGUGAAUGAGACCUAGGCGAAGUCUUUUUUGGACACGUGUUGCAUGGGUCGCGCGGCUCGCGAGUUGGUCGUAUCCUUGUGGAAUUCUAAUUGCGAGGUCCGAAUGGGUUGUAAUUAGGACUUUGCCAAUUGCUUGCGGAUCGCUAUAUAAGGGAGCUCGACAGAACAAACAGAGGACACAAUCAAUCAUACAAAACAACUGCAAAUCUUCGAGCACCCUCGAAACCCUAAGUUCUAAGUGCACCUCAUCUUAGAUCUCAGAGCCUGUCUGGACUCGCCUCUCCUUCCUAAUUGUUGCUCUGCUCACUUCGAACCGUGAGUAUCGAUUCACAGGUGACUAAAUAGUUUGCUCGUAAUUCCUCGCCCGCGAGGUGACUCCGGAGCUCUACUUCGCCUGGUUAGAAGUCAAGAACGCGCACCGUUCUCGUUCCGCGUCCGCGCGGUGGCACGCCCUGCAAACCCUAAUUUACUUUUGGUAGCACAAGUUACCUCUCUACCCCUGCUGAGGAUCGUGGCCAAAACAGUAGUACUCUUUAAAUUUAAAAUUUCUACAAGUUUUUCAUAAUAUAACCCAAAGAUUAAAUAUAAUUUGUAUGCACUAGCAUGUCUGGCUUUCAGAAAAGAAUGUGAAAAAAUGGGUUCACAAGUUACGCUUCUUGCACUUGUACCAAAUUACCAAAAGUCCCUGCCGAAAAAAGAAAAGAGAAGGAGCAACAUUCUCUCCCUCUUGUCACUAUAAGAAAAUUACUUUCACUUUCAAGGCCAUAUGCCCUAACCGUUUGCUGCAUUUUUGCAAUAUUAUUGAUAGGCUAACAUGGAAUACAUGGCUCACCUGAAACAAGCUCAAGGUUGAAGACAAAGGAAACUAAAGAGAAAAGCUGAAGCAACUUUUUGAGUCCUUUUCUCUUAAUGCAACAAAGAUAAGAAAAUUAUUACACCGAUCGAUGAAGAGCUCAAGCAGAUCUGUUCAGUAUACUCUUCUCUAGGGGCUAGCACUAUACGGCCCUCGUUCUACGGCGAUUUUAUAUAUUAAUAAAACAAUAUUUAAUUAACUUGUCCAUCACGUGUCCGUAUCUUAUCAUAUCUGACAUUUGACGUGUCCAGACACACGUACUUGUAUUCAUGCUUAGCUAUUUGAUGAGCUUCCGUAGCUUCACAAUCUUCCUAACUCUAGAGGAAUCAGGUCCAAUCCAUUUUGUGAUCAUAGACUGUCAAAGAGCCUUUGUUUCUCCAAAGAGAGCUUAAGCAGGUUCCCUUUUAUUAAGAGGUUAAUUUGUUCGUGUAGGUUAGUAUAAACAGAUGAGUGGAUGACUUCUGGUUUAGUUCAACAAAGAGCUAACAGAACCUAGUCAAAACAAAAUGUUACCUGAUAAAUUAGAGUCUAGUUAGGUUUACUUGUUUGUAGUAACUCACAAACUACAGGAUUUCAAAGGGAUUUAGCGUUGAGCAAACGAAGGUACAAGAACACCUGUAAACUCUGUAAUCAUGUGGACGCAAUCAUAUGCAGCUGUUCAACUUUAAAUUGAGCUCUACUGUAAACAAUAUAACACCUUUCCAUAUCUCUAAUUAUGAUGGAGAACAGACUGAGAUUGAAAACAGGUAUCUGGCAAAUCCUGAAGAACAUAUAUUGUUGCUGUUCAUAAACAGAAUCCUCAUAGUCUGCUUUCAGUUUUCUCUAACUCCGUUUUUACUCCCAAGUUGUUCAUCAUUGGGAUCCAUACGUGAACAAUAGCUCACAUCUUCAAAUUUUUGCAACUGUACCCAAUAAAAGCUAUGCUAUAGUAGAAAACACAGGCUAAAAUACUAGCAUGUAAUACCUUUUGUAAGGGACUAAUAACCUAUUUAAACAAUGAUAUAGACUACAGUUACGUAAUUGAAUUGCAUGCCAGAAGCACCAUUAUGGAAUUAAUGCUGUCCAGUGAAUACAAAGAGAUAUAUAUAGUUCAUGGAGCCAUCUUCAAUCAAGAGAUCAGCAUCCGCUUUAAUAAUAUUGACAAAGCUGUUGCAUCUAUCUUAAGCUGUAAAACUUGACUCCAAAUGUACAAGAAUGAAAACAAGAACGCAAAGUGAAAUUCCCAUUGCAUGCUUAUUAAUUAUUAUUACAACACUACACGAGAACGAUGAUCAUUAUAUAGAUUAUCCAAGCAAGUAGAUUCUAAUCGAAUCUGAUUUUUAUAAGAAAAAGGCACUUGUCUAACCAUUUUGUCCAAGUUCAAGAAAGAUGAACCACAGGAGCUGUGGUAGCCUCCUCGGCCAACUUCUCCCAUUCAUUCCUCAUCUACUUGCCAUCCUCUCCCUUCAUUAAGUUCCUCACAAGAUUCUCUAUGUAAUUUCUAUGAAUGAACAUCACCCCAUACCUCCAAAAAAAACAAAAUAUCCAUGUAGAUCCCUAAUAAAAUCUAAUUUUUAGGAGAAAGAAGCACCUGGUUAACCAUCUUGUUCAAAUUCAAGAAUGAUGAACCAUUUGGUGCAGUAACAGCUUCCUCUGCCAACUUCUUCCAUUCCAAGGAUUUCUUCCUCAUUUGUUUGCCUUCCUGUCCUUCCAUUAAUUUUCUCACAAGGACUUCUAUAUAAUUCCUUCUAACAUCACCCUCUAUCUGCAUGGCUACACCCCACUCUUUGCAACAGAACCUACAAUUUAUUUGUUGGUCAGCAAAGAAGGGCCAACAGAUCAUGGGAACUCCACCACACAGACUUUCAACCGUAGAGUUCCAUCCACAGUGUGUCAAGAAACCUCCUAUAGCUGGAUGAUUCAGAACUUGUUCUUGAGGGCACCAACUCGCCAACCAACUCCUUCCCUUGGUCUCUUCUACAAACUCGGGUGGAACCACAGCUGAGUUCCCAGCCACAAGAUCAGGCCUAAUCACCCACAAAAAGGUCAUGUUACUAUUUGCGAGACCCCAAGCAAACUCAAUCAGCUGCUCAUCUGUCAUGACUGUGAUACUUCCAAAGUUUACAUAAACAACAGAAUUUGGUUCUUUUGACUCAAGCCAUUCAAGACACUCCGGUUCUUCUUUCCAAAGAUUUGACCCGAUAGUCUUUGAGUCAUCAUCUUCUUGGAUAUGACUGAGUUGUUGAUGAAGAGGUCCAAUGGAAUACACAGGUGGUAGCAAACUUGAAAAUGCAUCUAAAACUUUAUGCUCCAAGGCAUCAAAUGUGUUAAUAAUGAUAGCAGACGCUCUUUGAGCUUGUUCUAUCAUAUACAGAAUAAAACUCAGCAUGACAUCAUCUGGGUCUGUGGUUCUAAUGAAGGUUGGCAUGUCCCUCAAACGUAUACUUCCCAAGCCAGGUAACCAGUCUAUUACAGUGUCCAAGUAGCCAUUUGUUAAAUAACUGGCCUCUGCAAAUAAAGGAGACAAAGGUGAAGUUAACAUUCUGGUACCACUCCAUGUUUAGGACAUAGUGUUCCAGAAUAGUGAUGACCCAUACCUUUAAGUGGAACAAUACCCUUUUCAAUGAGAUGGGCAUGGUGAAGGUAGCACAUUAAUGUACAAGCACUCGCUGUCUGGAAGAGGACUACUGGAAGGCCAAGUUCAUGGGUUGCAUCAAGAGUGAAGGUCGUGCCUAAAUCAGAUAUUAUGCAAGUAACAGGAGGGGAAUUUGACGAAGAAUUGAGUUCUGAAAGAAGGCUUCUGAAGGGUGCUAAAAAGUUAUUUCUAAUGGAACCACAUAAGGCAGGUAUGUCUUGGGUGACAUUGGCAUCAGUAGGAGGAAGGCCAUCGGGAAUCGAUUUGAACCUAAACGAGGGCAGGCCAUCGAGAGAGUUGGGACCUCGGGAUCUAAGCAGGCGCUCAUGGUUGUACUCUGUGUUGACAAAGGUUAUAUGAAAGCCUCUGUAGUGAAGGAUUUUAGCUAAUUUUAGCAUUGGGUUUAUGUGACCUUGAGCAGGGUAUGGUAUACAAACUGCAUGUGGCUUCUCCGAGGCGUUGGAACCCAUUCUCUCUCUCUCUCUNNNNNNNNNNNNNNNNNNNNCUCGAUUACAUAGGGGAUGUGUAUGGGGUUUUAUAGGGAAACAGAAUGUCUUACCAGUUUUAAAUUGGUAGAUGUCUGGCUUAUAAUUAUUCCAAUUUCAGUGUCCUAAAAUGACAUCCAGUAAAACUUAACGCAAAAUAUAUAGGAAGCCAGGAAGGUCUAUAACAAUUUACAUCCAUAUGAGGUGAGUCUACACUCCUGAGUCUGAAUCGCUGAAGUGUCUAACCUUUUUCAUUUUUAUUUUGCUGGAUGGGGAAUUCGUAUUCAGGAUUAAAUACCACUAGACAGUAAUAACAAGCAUAGAAAAAUUCCUUGCCUGCUCUAUCACACACAAUGAAGUAAAAGAAAGAUUGUAUGGUGUUCGUCCUCCAUCAUAAAUACAAGAACCAAACCCUUAAACUCCCUCCCCAAUCUCCUCCACAAUUUCCCUCUGCAUUUAUUCCUCAGACACUUUCCCAUCUCCCACCACUUACAUCUCCCCUCUAUACUCCUCAACUACUCUAUCGGAUAUUCCUCCUACCGUUUAGUGUAAAGAAUGUCGGCAACUUUCUUAUCAAGCUAGCAACAUUUUCCAUGUGUUUAGUUGAAGAUAGUUAGAUAGAGUCCUGAGCUGGGAUUCUUCAGCUGAUCACAAUCAGUUGGCACAGAAAUUUACUAUAACAUCAUCAUCUUCCUAUAUCAAACCAAGGGAAACAAUCACACACUAAAACGUGGCCAUUUUGUUUAAUUUCUAUUCCAAUGGAACCUAUUUAUCAAUACCCAUAUAUCAAUUGAACCCAUUUAUCAAAACUCAUAAAUCAAUUGAACCUACAUAUCAGUUCAUAAUCUUAUAUCCUCUACUCUAGGUGACUGAAAAUAAAAGGCAACACUAAAAAAGACAGUAAAAAGAUAAGGUACAGGGAAAAGCUAAAUAUAGAGAGAAAGUGAGAGCUUUUGAACCUAAAAAGGAGUGGAGAAGACGAGUCCAGCCUCAAUCAUUCUUUGCUUGAGUUGAAGUACGUCAGGCCAUUGAAACGUGUUCCUCGAUUUGGAGAAGCCCAAAGCUCCCAGGGGUGGCGGCCAAGUCGGCUUGGCCUCGCCGUCUCCGACCACGACAACCGAAUCGCAUCGCAACUCUCCUCCAAAUCCAAUUUCCUCUUCUAACCAUGAAUUGCAAUUUCAAUUACCAAGAGAUAAAACUUCAUUCUAAAAAAAAAUAAAAAAUAACAAAAAUAAAGAGAACUGGGCUUAUGGCAAUUCUUGGGCCGUUUAGGCGGAACCUAGUUUGGUUGGGCCUUGGCAGGUUGGUUGGUUCACUUUAAACAAAAACAAAAACAGAGAACUGGGCUUAUGCGGGUUAGGUGGGAUUUGGGCUGGCUAGGCGGAAACUAGUUUUAUUGGGCCUAGGCAGGUUGUUUAGUCCACCUUAAACCAAAAAAAUCUAGAAGGAACAAGACUGCCCAAUGCGUUCGCGCCGCGCGGGUCUUGGCUCAUCGUUCUCUGCCCGUCUUCUCUCACCUCUCAUCUCUCUCCGGACCUCCGGCGAAUUGCGGCAGCACUCCACGACCCAGAAUCAGCCGGAGACCGCCGUCUUAUGAAGUUUCUGAAGCAGAAUAUCAGGUAUUUGAAGUGUUCAUUACUAUGUUAGUGCCAAUAUGCUUCCUGAUAUGCCCCAUGUUUUAUGCCGUUUUUUUUUUUUUCUGGGUGAAUCAAUAGUCAUGAUAAAUUGAUUGGAAAAUGGAGACACGAAAAUGGAGUUCCUCAAUUCUAUCAGAUACAGUAUUUAUUGGAAAAUAGGAAUUCUACAAUUUCGAUUAGGAAGAAGCUUGGCUUUCAAUGUUAAUGGAGCAGAGUAUAUAAUGUUAUUAGUAUGUUGUACCUUUAGCUAAUGGGAAAGACAUCUCAUCAGCCUUAUUAUCUAAAUCAAACAUCCUAUUUCCAGUCAUUGAGAAAGUGAGAUUCUAAACCAAACAUCCUAUUUCCCAGUAUAAUUAGCUUUACAUGGAGAAGAGAAGAUAAAAGAGUUCAAGAACAGAAAAUGAGAUAUAAUCGAGAUACUAAGUAUCGUCGAUUAAAACUACGAUCAACAAACUAGUACAGUUUAUCAAUUUCUAAUCUCUUGGAGAUAGCAGCACCUGGUUAACCAUAUUGUCCAAAUCCAAGAAAGAUGAGCCAUGAGGGCCAGUAGUGGCCUUCUCUGCCAACUUCUUCCACUCCAUGGAUUUCUUCCUCAUCUCUUUUCCUUCCUCUCCCUCCAUUAACUUCCUAACAACGCUUUCUAUGUAGUUUCUCUUAACAUCACCCUCCAUCUCUAUGCCUAUACCCCAUUCUUUGCAACAGUACCUACAGUUGGUUUGUUGCUCGCCGUUGAAGGGCCAACAGAUCAUCGGCACUCCCCCACACACACUUUCAAUGGUUGAGUUCCAGCCACUAUGAGUCAAGAACCCUCCUAUAGCUGGAUGGCUUAGGACUUGUUCUUGACAGCACCAACUUGCUAGUAGCCCUCUUUCUUUAGUCUGUUCUAUAAACUCUGGGGGCAGGACAGGUGAUUCUCCCCCAACCAGGUCAGGUCUAAUGACCCAAAAAAAGGUCUUGCUGCUGUCUGCAAGUCCCCAAGCAAAUUCAAUUAGCUGCUCAUCUGUCAUGACUGUACUACUUCCAAAGUUGACAUAUAUCACAGAACUAGGUUCUUUAGAGUCAAGCCAUUCAAAACAGUCUGGUUCUUCUCUCCAUAGAUUUGCUCCAAUCAACUUGAAGUUGCUAUCUUCAGCUGGUAUCUGGUUAAGUUGUAGGUAUAGGGGUCCAAUGGAGUAUAUAGGUGGUAGCAAAUGCGAAAUUGCCUCUAGAACUUCAUGCUCUAAGGCAUCAAAUGUGUUCAAAAUGAUAGCAGAAGCUCUUUGAACUUGUUCUGUAUCGUGCAAAAUUAAGUGCAGAAUGGGGUCAUUUGGGUCAGUGGUUCUCAUGAAGGUUGGGAUAUCCUUCAAUUGGAUUCCUUUCAUUCCUGGAAUCCAAUCUAUCACUGUAUCCAAAUACCCGUUUGUCAAAUAACUGUCAUCUGCAAGUCAACCAAGAACAUAGUACUACUGAAGUGAGUCAAGUUUUGUAAUGCAAAAGAUCUAGAACAAAUUAUAGACUUAUAGCAUGCAGGUUAGUUAGAUAAUCAAUGCCUCUCCAUAUGUCCAAUGAUCAGAGAUUUAAAGCCAUUUCCAAAUCUAUAUGAAAUCUAUAACAAGUCAUUAGUUCCAUAAUAUCUGCUUCUUCUUUUUUUCAUAAAACCAAAUGAGACUUCACGAAGUAGUGAUAUCCUGCCUUUUCAUAAUUAGUAAUCAGUACCUUUAAGAGGAACCAAACCCUUCUCGAUGAGAUUGUAAUAUUGAAGGUAUCCCAUGAAACCACAAGCACUUGUUGUCCAGAAAAUAACUUCAGGAAGGCCAAGUUCUUGGGCUGCAUCAAGAGUGAAGUUCAUGAUGCCAUCAGCAACUAUGCAGGUCACUGGAGGCGAAUUUGGGGAAGAAUUGAGCUUCAAAAGAAGGUCUCUGAAGGGUGCUAGGCAGUUUUUCCUUGUGGACUCGCAUAGCGAUGGCAUGUGUUGUGUGGCAACGUUUGCAUCAGUUGGAGGAAGACCAUCUGGAAUUGUCUCAAACCGAAAGGAAGGGAAGCCGUCAAGAGAGUUUGGACCUCGAGAUUUCAGCAGGCGUUUAUGUAUGAACUCUGUGUUGACAAAGGUUAUAUAAAAACCUUUGUAGUGGAGGAGCUUAGCUACUUUUAGCAUUGGAUUUAUGUGGCCUUGUGCUGGGAAUGGGAUGCACACUGCAUGUGGCUUCUCUGAGGUUAAGCCAUUGCACUCCAUUUCCACUUUCUCUGAAUAUGGGAUACUCUGGGAUACAGAAUUCUUACCAGUUUUAUUGCUUGUGUGGCCACCAUCCACUACUUUUCAUUAAGUCAUAUUCCAUCAUCUUUUAAUCUUAGCCUUGCACAUUUUAAAGAGUGAAUAUAAUGGUUAAGAUUAGAAACUACAGGUCACAUCAGCACAUUGCUUUUGAUGUUCAGAAGACGUGGCAUUUGAGCUGCCAACAAUAGACCUUCUGAUGCCAAAUACAAUUAUACACCCUUUGCUUUCUUUCAUCAUAUAGGCAGAAUGCAGGAUUCAAGGCUCUCCAACUCAGACCUCUUUCUGUGAAUUGUGAUCCCAAAACGUAUGGCUAGUACCAAAAUCCUGACAUUCAUGGCUAGGUGAAAGUGAAAUACAUGGAAAAAAAAAAAUCCAUAUUUUGCCAUUGCAUAGAUGAGGAUUUGAUGGUUCUAUGUGAUGAUUAGUUCCUGGAAAUGGAACCAGUAAACUUGUUGAUACAUCUGUGCCCUCAAUAUAUACAAUGGCCGAGUUGAAGGUUUUUGCAGAAGAAAUCCUUAUAGAUUUUACCGAAUAUUAACACAACAAAGUUGAUUAUGCCUACUUCAAACGAAAUCUGCACCAGAGGAAGUAUUUUUUUUUUUAUUUUUAAUAUAUAUCUUAUUAAGGGAAAAUGCCCAUUUAGUACUAAUUCAAACCCCUUAUUUCCCAUUCCAAUGAUAAUCUUUUGCAUUAGCCCAUUCCAAUAUAAGGUAACUAUUUUUAUGCCCAAAUGCACAAAUCUUUACUAAAGUCUUAACAAACCAUAUUAUUUUAAGACUAUUUUGCCCCCACCUCUUCAACAUGAAAAGACUUGGCCGAAACCUCAGACUCCGGUCACCGACCGCAGGACUCCGGUCACAGGCCGCCGGACUCCGAUCACCUGAAUUUCCCCGACCGCCGGAUUCCGGUCACUAGAUUUUUCCCUGUAACCAGUUACUGACCCCCAAUAACCAGUUACUGACCAGUUACUCACACCCAGUAACCAGUUACUGACACCCAAUAACCAGUUACUGACCCCCAAUAACCAGUUACUCACACUCAGUAACUAGUUAUCGACACCCAAUAACCAGUUACUGACCCCCAAUAACCAGUUACUGACUCGUUACUGACACCUAGUAACCAGUUACUGACCUUCACUAACUAGUUAGACACUCAGUAAACCGUUACUGACCCCCACUGACCAGUUACUGACACCUAGUAACUAGUUACUGACCCCCUGUAACCAAAUUACUAACCCUCAGUAACCGACUUAUUACCCUCUAAUAUACAUGUUUGUUGUCUUCCCGUUGAUAGAUACAUCAAUAACACAAAAAAUGAAAUCAAUAACUAAUGCUAUACUUGUAAUCACACAUGAAAGAAACUUAUAACUUGAGCAGAAAUAUAUUUUGAGAACAGAAUUGCAACAUACUGCACUUAAUUCACAAGAAAUCACAACACUGCAACCUAGCUAUUCUCUUCAACAAGGUGCGUGCCCACAGUUUGGAUUCGGUAUACCCAGCCGCACAUUUGUAUUCUUCUUUGUACUGCAAACUCAAACAAAUCCCAAUCACAUACAAACACAUAUAUAGAUAGUCAAUGAUACAGAGGAAGGAAGACGGAGAAUUAAACCCUAACCUCGGAGAAAUCAACCUCGACCUUGGAUCUUACUCCUUGAGGAGCGAUGUAGCUGAUCUACACAUUCCGAUCUGUCGAUCCGAAGCCACCACCAUGCAGAUCCGUCAGACGCCAUUGUCACACAGUCCGACUCCACGAGCGGGAGCACAACCAGAAGCGCCAGCGCCUCGCAAUUCUGCUCGGGAUAAGUGGCCGGAGUCAAAGAUCGGCGAGCUCUGACGACGAAGCACGAGCCGGAUCUGGAUUCAAGCACGAGCUGAGGUUCGUCGUGUCGAGGCCGAGGAGCGUCGCCGGCGUGGCUGAGGACCUCGCGGUUCUGCUCGGAAUAAGUGGCUGGAGUCAGAGAUCGGCGAGCUUUGACGACGAAGCACGAGCCAGAUCUGGAUUCAAGCACGAGCUGAGGUUCGUCGUGUCGAGGCCGAGGAGUGUCGCCGGCAUGGUUGAGGAGUGUCGCCGUCGAGGCUUCGACGGUUGAUGCCUUAACACGAGAGAGAGAGAGAGAGAGAGAGAGAGAGAGAGAGAGAGAGAGAGAGAGAGAGAGAAUGAGAGAUAUUAGAUUUGAUUAGAGAGAGAAGAGUUUAAUUAUCAAUACAGGGUAUACUCGUAAUUUUAUUAAAAAUCAUUGAAAUGGGCUAAAAGAAAAGAUUUACAUUGAAAUGGGUAUUAAAAUCCUUGUUUUUGUGCAUUUGGGCAUUUUCUCUUUUAUUAAUAACUCACACACCCUACAUAUGUCAGUGAGGUUUGAACCUAUGAUCUCAAAGUUGUCAGUUAAACACUUUUUUUUUCUUUUUUUUUAGCGAAUUAUCAGUUAAACACCUUAACCAACCAAACCACAGCUCACCAACACACUAGAGGAAGAUUAUAUCAACCAUUAAGUGAUCUGAAGGAUGUGCCAGCAAGGUCACUUAAUAAUAGAAAAAUUACAAUAUAGGAAAAAUAACAAAUACAAAGGGAUCAGUAAAAUACACGAAUCAAAGAAAGAAUAAGAAUUUUCAUUGUUCAAACAAUCAAUUACCCUACUUCAAUUUCUUAGAGAGCAAAACCUCAUUUACCAUUUUGUCCAAAUCCAGAAAUGAUAAUCCAUUGGGACCAGUAGCAGCCUCCUUUGCCAGCUUCUUCCACUCCAUAGCUUUCUUCCUCAUUUCUUUUCCCUCCUCUCCUUCCAUUAGUUUCGUCACAAGUUCCUCUAUGUUACUUCUGUGGACAUCACCCUCUAUCUCCAUCCCUAUGCCCCAUUCUUUGCAACAAUACCUACAAUUGGUUUGUUGCUCAGCAAAGAAAGGCCAACAGAGCAUUGGAACGCCUGCACACACACUUUCGAGGGUUGAGUUCCACCCGCUGUGAGUCAAGAACCCUCCUAUUGCAGGGUGGUUCAGAACUUGUUCUUGAGGGCACCAAGUUGUCAAUAGACUCCUUUCUUUUGUCUCUUCCACAAACUCUGGUGGAACCACAGCUGAUUCCCCUCCGACAAGGUCAGGCCUAAUGACCCACAAAAAUGUCUUGCUGCUGUUUGCAAGUCCCCAAGCGAACUCAAUUAGCUGCUCGGAUGUCAUGACCGUGAUGCUUCCAAAAUUGACAUAAACUACAGAAUUAGGAGCUCUGGAGUCGAGCCAUUCAAGACACUCUGGUUCGUCUUUCCAUAGGUUUGAUUGAAUCGACUUCAAGUCGGUACCUUCACUUUGAACCUGAUCAAGCUGUAGAUGCAGGGGUCCAAUGGAGUAGAUAGGUGGUAGCAAAUUUUUAAGUGCAUCAAGAACUUCAUGUUCUAAGUCAUCGAUUGUGUUCAAAAUGAUAGCAGAAGCUCUUUUAGCUCGUUCUGUCUCAAUCAGCAUAGUCUUCAUCAUGCCGUCUUCUGGGUCAGUAGUCCUGAUGAAUGCCGGGAGGUCCCUCAAACGAAUACCUCUCAUGCCUGGUAACCAGUCUAUCUCAGUCUCCAAGUAACCAUUUGUCAAACAAGAGGCAUCUGCGGAUCGAAAAAUAGUAUUAGCUAGCUGUGAGUCUUAUUCAUACAUAAAUAGAAAACUUAUACUGGACCUAAUAUGCAUUCUUUGGACCUUUUAAUGAUGAAAAAUUGAAAAUGAUGAAAUAACAAAAUUAAAUAGCAACUAGGUGGCUAGUUGGAUUUUCAUUUUUAUCGAUCAAUGUAUAUACCUUUAAGAGGAAUGAGACCCUCAUCAAUGAGAUUCUGAUACUGCAUGUAGCCCAUGAAGCCACAAGCACUAGUUGUCCAGAAAAGAACUUCGGGAAUGCCCAGUUCUUGAGCUGCCUCAACAGUGAAGCUCAUGACACCAUCCGAAACAAUGCAACUGACCGGAGGAAUAUUUGAUGAAGAAUUCAGCUUGGAAAGUAGGUCUCUGAAAUGUGGUAAGCACUUUGUCCUUGUGGAUACACAAAGUGAUAGUAUGUCUUGCGUCGCAUUGGCAUCAGUGGGAGGGAGACCAUCGGGAAUGGUCUCGAACGUAAAGGAAGGAAGGCCAUCAAGGGAGUUGGGGCCUCGAGAUUUCAGCAGGCGCUUAUGGUUGUACUCUGUGUUGACAAAAGUUAUAUGAAACCCUUUGUGGUGAAGGAGUUUGGCUAGUUUCAGCAUUGGGUUUAUGUGACCUUGAGCCGGGAAUGGUAUGCAAACUGCAUGUGGCUUCUCGGCAAUGGAGUCCAUUGUUGAUGAUCUCUUUAGCUCCCUCGAAACUCACGAGUUAGGCAGAAGCUAACUAGCUAAGAAAACUGGGAUCUGCUAGCUGUGUACGUGAAAGCUUCAAUGGGAGAUGAGAAGUGUUAUCAUGGUACCAGAUUUAUAGGCCAAUUGGAAGGGCAGGUUUGGGAUACGAAGCCAAGUCAAUGACUCUAGACGGCAAAGGUGACGGUGGCUAGCGCUGCAGGGCUAUAGAAUUUGAACUCGUGGUUGUCAUGGAUGAGUGCGAUACCAGUCGGUCGAUCAAAGACUGCGCCAUCUUUCUUAUGUACUGGUUACGUACUUUUUAAGUGCAUAUAUCGUUUUGUUUAAGUCCCUAAUUGUACAAUUUUGACCCAGAAAAAUUGUUCUGACAAAGAAUCCAUGGAAAGUGCAUAUACUAACUGGAAAGUGCUACUAAAGGGCCGGGUGUGAAGCGCGCGCACCUUAUGUUUCAGUUCACAACUUCACACAGUUCACAACAUGACGGGUAGGACGAGAUAAGCAUGAAUAUAAACUGUUGAUACGUUUAGGAAAAAAUUUAAGACGGUCACUGAGUACGUGCACUUGAAAUUUUGUAGGGUCGCUGAGCCACAAGAUGUGCAAUUCUUUCCUAAAAUUUCCAAAGGUUUUCGUUUUUCGUUUUUGUAGAAUUUCCCGACCACCUCCUUCUUCUUCGCGAUCUCGUAUCUCUUAAAUAUCCAAAGCCACUGCCUCACCCUCUUCAUUUGCAUGCCUAUAUGUUUAUUUGAUAAUUAAUGAUCGAUUUGGCUAAUUACAUGAUUAAGGUCUGGCUAAUAGAAUUAGAUGCAUGUGAAUCACUCAAUUUUUCGGAUCAACGGGAUCAAUCACCCAUUUAAGCCAUGACAUUACACUACCAGGACAAGCACUUUAGCCGACGAAAAAUUUUCGUCGGCAUGUUAUCUUAAUUCGUCGGCUAAGAUCUUAGCCGACGAAGGCUCGUCGGCUAUAGUGUCGUCGGGAAAAGAUCGUCGGUGAUGACUUUAGCCGACGAAAUUUUUUUUUUCGUCAGCUAUAGUCCCACAGUUAGCCGACGAAAAACAUGUCGUCGGUUUUUUUCCCAGACUUUAGCCGACGAAACAAUUAAGAUAUUCGUCGGCUAAAGUGUGUAAUAAAUAAUUAAAAAAUAACUAUAGCCGACGAAAUAUAGUAUAUUUCGUCGGCUAAACCUUAUAAAAAAAUUUAAAAAAUAACUAUAGCCGACGAAANNNNNNNNNNNNNNNNNNNNACAAAAAACUCUCACGUAGAUGAGACGCAACUGCCCAUAUAAAAAUUUUGAGACAUUUACCUUCCGACGAUAGGGCUCCCCAUAAACCCGAAUAACGGUAAAUAGUAGACACGUUGUGAUUCCGAUGACUAAAAUUCACAAACCAAAAUUCGACUGUCAGAUAUGAUCAUUAUGAUGAAAGAUGUCUAUGAUAAAAAAUUCAACUGGAUUCGACAAAGUUAAGGGCUCGAUCGAAACGGUCAACUUUAAUCGAAAAUAAGAAAACUGCAUUUUGAAGCCCUAAACGGACUCGGAUGGCCGAAAAAGCCUAUACAUCAUGGCAUUAGCGAUGAGUUUGACUCGUAGCGCCGUUACGCUUCCGGAAAGGUAUCACAAUAGUCAAUCAGACACCAAACGCCAAAUCUGCAACAUAGUGAAUAAUAAAGGUAAGUCAACUAUCGGCACCGAGACUUUACCGGAAUACUGUGAUUUUACAACCGUAGACGUAUUUCACCAUUCUGGUCAUAUCUUAUUUCACGACUUUUUUGCGUUUGAAGGUUCUACGUAUAGUUUUUUUUCUCAGAUGAGUUGUUGUCUAGAUCUGCAAAUAUAAGGCACUUUAGCCGACGAAAUUAUAUUUUUUCGUCGGCUAAACUUUUAAAAAUUUCGUCGGCUAAAGUUUAAAAAUUUCGUCGGCUAAACUUUUAAAAAUUUAGUCGGCUAAAGUUCACAGACUAUAGCCGACGAAAAAAAUUAUUCAACCGACGAAAUAUUAAUUUCGUCGGCUAAAGUUGACCAUAGCCGACGAAAAUUUUAAAUUAGCCGACAAAAAAAAAUUCGUCUGCUAAAGUGGACUUUAGCCGACGAAAAAAAAAUUCGUCGGCCUGGUUUUUUAUUUUCGUCGGCUAAAGCCUUUCUUCUGGUAGUGUUAUCUCUAGGUGAAUGGAAACGUAAUCAUCAUGAUGAGUCUUUAUCUCACGCUUAGGUGACUAAUCACUUUGGAUUAUGGUUGUUUCACAUGGGUCACUGAUAUACGUUUCCACUAAUCUCCUUGGAUUAUGUAUGGUUGUUGUUUCACAUUAUCUCACCUAAUACGUUUAACUUUUGUACAUAUAUUUUAUAGGCAAAUUCUAGUAUACCGUAUGGUAUAGCAUGUCUCACAAAAUGUGUGGUUAUCAUUGAUUGAAGAAGCAACUAAAUAACCACGUAAUGACCAUUUACCCCUUCAAAAGCUCUCAUGUUCUAUAUAAUUAGUCACAUUUGCAAUAAG